rnacentral:lncRNA from 1 species
GACGUAGACAACAAAUGAGUUGCUGAAAAGGGGGAAGAGCCUUCAUAUGAUGAAUUGCCUGUCAACACAUUGUUACCCUAAAACUGUCGCAUUAGAUACUUCACCAUAUGCAACUGGUUCAAAUAAUUUACAUGAUCAUGGCCACCAGGUAAUUAUGGGUAUCACCCCUAUUGCUGCUUUUUGGACUGAUAAGAAUUUUGAGUCAUUUAAAUUAGUUGUGCUUUUUUCAGGUCGGACAGAACUCCUCUAUCUUCACUGCCCCUCUCAUUGUACAGAACCUUCGGAUCAUUGGGAAAAUAAUUGUAAGUUACAUGAUGAGCUCAAAGCCAAAAUAAUGUAAACCAUUCUCAAUAGAGGUACCUUGUCAAUGAUCCCAUACUCAACUGCCUCGCUUGGACUAAAAUAUUUUGGACGCCUGGCGAUUUUCCUAUAUGCUUCGAGUAGAGUUUAACCUUUGCAAAUCAAAACAUGAAAUGUCCGUAAGCAUAGGUUCAGCUGUGCGUCAAGGAUGUACAUUACCAUUUUCCCAUGCAACUUCCAGUGUGAAUGAGUUUGUCAGGGCAAUAUUAUGAUGACUAUUCACAUGCAAGCGUAUACAGGCAUACAACGAUAACACAAAACAUGCCCGAUUUCUGAAUCUAGAGAACAUGGGACUAAGAGGAGUGGAAACAAUGGCCUAAAUGAUUGUUAACUUUACCAACUCAGCCUUCACAUUUUUAACUUCUUUCCUCAUAAGUUCAACAUCCGAUGCUUGACCUUGAAAUCUUGCAAUUGGCUGCAAGAUUACACAGGCAAUAGGUAUUAAUAUUAAAAUAAAACAAAGCAAUAUAACAAGAAGUCUAACGUUAAUAUCAUGAUAUGUGUGUUAACACUAGUUCCUAGAAACGGUAACUUCUAAUUUGAGAGAAUAGGUGUGCCUUGUAGGGGUGUGGAUUGUUUGGAAUUAAAGGCAGAUUAUCGGAUAUCAAGAACUUAACAUGAGAAAGAAAAACAUGCAGUAUAGAUAACAAGGACCUGCUUAAUCAUGAUUGUUGACGAUGGCAAGGCAGAACGGUUGCCCUUUGCGCCAGCAGCCAAAAGCAAGGCUGCUUCUCCCCAAGCAUUUCCAACACACAGCGUGAAAAUAGGUGGCUUGACAUAUCUUCAUGCCAGUUCUCGUUAGUUACAAUGAAUAAAACGAAAGUGAAUUCACACACUACAAUAGUAUGAAGCACACAAUCAGCAAAUCCAAAAUGUCUAUAUUUCCAUCAUAUUCUUUAAAGUAAUUUUAACUGCAUUGGAAAAAAAUAGAGUUCACACGAAUUUGUCAAAUGCCAUGAUUGUAGAAUCUAGUAAGUUGGAGAUUUAGCUCAAUCAAAAAAAUGACCUUGAUAACUCAUAGCAAUUAGAGGACACAGUCUACCCUCGACUUGCUCGAUUUCAGAAAUAAUAGUUAGUGCACAAAAUUUCGGCUUUCACAAAAUUAAAACAUCCAUUUUGAUAUUGAUAUCUUAUGGUUUUGGCUAGAGUUUCAAAAUAGUUACACAAAGUACUAUCUUGCAGCCCUGUCAAGCAUUAAACAAAAAUAAGGUACAACUUUAAUAGCAUUCUGAUGUAUGGCAUAAAGAUUUAUAACCUCAUAACAUCAUAAAUUGCAAAAGCCUCCGUCUCAUAGCCCAAUUUUUCCCCACCCUGCAAAAUUGUGAAAAUUAAAUAAAACUUUGAACAAGUCCACUUUAAAUAUGUUGAUCAUUUUAUUUUUUAUUUUUUGCAGAAGCUUCACAUUAAAAGCUCAUAGGAACGAUGAUUCGUGAAUUUUGAGACUACACGUUUCUUAGUGCAAUGCCCAGUUUUUUUUUUUUUUUUUUGGGUGGGGGGGGAGCCUUUACAAGCCAAAUUUAACUGCAUUUUCUGAACAAAAAAUAGAAAGUAAAAAAGUAGUAUUUUUAAUAGUUGAAAUGGACCAAAUGGUUAUACUCUUAACAGCAAAUUAUGCCAAAGCUCUGUCAUCUAACCUAUGUCUGCAUCAAUAACAUGGACAUCUUGCAGACGAUGUUUCAAUGCAGAAAUUAAUAACGGUGGGGAAAUUAACCCAAAACAUGAACUAUGCUGAAUCCCAAACAAAAUUCAAGUUUAGUAUAUUAACUUCAAGUGCAUGCCAAAAAUGAAGUGGGUUUUGAGGAAACAUCCCCACUUUGAACCUCAACCCUAGAAGGUUACAUGGAAACCAAAUACACGAAGCAAAUCAAGUAUGACGCAUAGUAUUUAUAACUGAUGCUUAGAUGACACAGUAUUUACAUGCUGCCAUGGUCUUGAAGACAGUGAACUGGGAAAGAAAGAAGAAUGGGGAAGAUUAUAGUUGGGCUUUUUUUUACUUAGGCCUUUUUUAGUUGGGCCUUUCUUAAAUAAAAACUAUGGCCCAUUAUUCAUUACUCAAUUCCCAUUGUCAUUUGCGACAUUUCUCAAUUCACAACCACUGACCACAGCUUCAAAAAGCUAAACGCCCAAUUCCAAACCUGAUAUUCUACCGUUGUUCCCAGUGUUGCCAAAAGUCUCAAGGUAAUAAUCUACUUUUAAAUUGUUUGUGACUUCAAAGGAUUUUGUGUAAUUUGGGUUGAUUUCAUUAUUUGGUUAUUUCUGUGAAGGUAGAAAAAAUUACUUGAAUUGAUUAUACCAAUUAUGAAUGCACAAAAUGGUGUAUGAGAUCCAAACUAAAGUUGAUAGAUGGACUUCAGAGGUUUAUAUGAUAUGUUCAAAUAGGUAAAGCAAAAAUAUGCGAAGAAAAUAAUUUCGAAUGGAAACAAUUGAAUAUCUUAAGCUUUGUUUUAUGUUGAUGUCUAUUGUGAUAGCUAAUUGUCAUGUGAAUCAGACUCUGUUGGUUGGAACUUGGCUGUUAUUGGAAUUUGUGACUUGAUGGAAUAAUCAGAAAUGGUCACAACUAAAAAUAGAAGCUUUUGGCAUGAAUUGUUACUCAAUGUUUAUGUUAUAUUCCUUGACAAUGUGAAGGCAUAUAUGUUCUACUCUGCAUUGGCUGAAAAGUUCAUUUAUGUUGCACCCUUUGUAGGUGAGGAGAGCACACUGCAAAAUAUGCAUUUGAGCACGCUUAUUUGAACAGCAGAAAGAAGUGACAACUGUGAGCAAAGCCAAUAUCAUGAAGCUCGCCGAUGGUUUAUUUUUAGAAUCUUCUUUAGAGGUCGCCAUAAAAUAUCCUUGGAUCAAGAACAAUGAGAUAUUAUGGAUAACUGCUACAUGCGACCGGUUUCCAAGCCCAAGUAGUUUGAUGUCAUGGUAGGUGCUUGGAUUUCUCUUAGUUUUUUCUUGUGCUCUUUUAGACUUUUCUUAAAAUGUUGCCAUGCAUACAAAUGUAAGACAGCUUAAUGUCAAUCCGCAGAAGAACAUUUACCGUGAUUGUUGUUUUAGUGUAUUUACAUAUAGAUUGAAGAAUUUUAAAUAUUAUUUAAUUAAAUAUUAAUAAACGACAUCGCUAUUACGGUCGUUGACUAUCAACGGUCAAUGAUCAACGUUUAACGGCAGCUUUAGCUGACUUCCAAUCCUAGAUCUGCCACUGAUGACAUGGGCAAUACAUAGAUUUAGAAAGAGAAAGAGAACUACCAGCCAAUUUCCCACUACUAAAUUGAAACUAGCAAUAUUGGUAUGGUAAACAUUGAUCAUAUUUAUGUAUCUAUGCAUAUGAUUUCUUUCAACUGAACAGAAGAAAAUAUAUUCUGAGGCUGUAUAGCAUCAGUUUUACAAUCAUUGCAUGGGGAAUGGAAGAAAAUGUGUACCAGUUCAGGCAUAAUGUUAUUCUUAGUUACAUAUCCUNNNNNNNNNNNNNNNNNNNNNNNNNNNNNNNUACUCUUAACUGCACGAGUUUUGAGCAAUGACAGAUAGCAAAGCCAGUGGGAUACAAAUUUAUAAAUGCUUUAUAAAUUCAGUCAAAGUCAAAGACACAUUAAUUUCAACCACACAUUCAUAACUGCUACUCAUUAUUAUCCACGUUCAAGGAAUACACUAGUAUUCCUCUUUAUAAACCAUUUAGAAAUUUGCCAAACGGAGGCUAAGUCAUCCAAAUAUUGUAUCCUUUUCCACUCAAAAAAAUGACACAGAAAAUAUCUUGUAAAGUACCAGGAGAAAUAUUUCAUUAACAAAAUUUGAAGCACCAUGCUUGUAAUAAUUAAGUCUAACCUUGGUUGUACCAGUGGAAUUUAUAUAAAGAUAAAUUGGCUUUUCCUCAUCUUCAUACUGAAGGUAAAGAAAUUCUGCAAGUAUCAGUUCAGUGACAGAUGGCACCAGAGACAUGCCCAAGUAGACAAUACGAUUUUUAUACAAAUAAGAUGCUAAAUCUGGAGGAGGUUGCUCCCAGGCACUUCCUCUUGAGAAAGGGAUAACCUGUCAACAGAAUUUUACCCAACCAACAUUCAAGAUACUAAUGAGAAUGGUGGCAACAUAAAUAAUCACAAAUAUGUAGUAUAUACUGUUAAUGAUUGCAAUAACAGUCAAGACAAUUACCAAAGUUGUUGUAGCUUUACUAAACAACAGCAAUCGGAAAAAACUGUGGGUAUGGUGAUGGAGGCGGACUAAAACAGUAGUCUUAACUCGCACGGACUGUUUGUGUGGAUGUGAUUUGUGGGUUCGGGAAAACUAUGGAACAGUGGCUGGAGAAGAGCAUGGACCGAGCGUGAAUCUAGAAUUGGGCGAUGUAGCGACGGUGGUUACGAAAUGGGUUGAGUAUUGUGGUUGGCCGGUGCGUUGUGGGUGACCGGCGUGCGACGAGUAGUUGUUUAAUGUGUAUGUUUAGGUGGUUGUCUUGCUCUUAUUUUGGUUGUAGUAGGUGGCAGGGGUGAUUGACGACGGAUGAGUUGGUCUUAGUGGUGUGUGGAGUUUGAGGCGACUGUUUAGGCGGAGGUGGGCUGCUGGCGGUGGUUUUGAGUAGGGAAAUUUAUGGAAAUAACAUUUUCAAAUGCGUUACUUUUCCAAAAUGACCCUCGGAUAAUUUACAUACCAAAAAUGCUCUACAUUUGGAUAUUACAUAAUAAGAUAUCAUAAUAUAGACAUUUUCUAUUUUAGUCCUUAAAAUUAAAUAUUGGUUGAAAUUUGAUAAUUUUUAUUUGAUUUAUUUGAUUAAUAUUCUUAUUUGAUUUUUGUUCGCUCUAAGUAGCCCCCUAAUUGGCAUCAGAAUUAUAGAGAUCAUGAAAAAGCCUAUAAAAAUGUUACCUAAAGAAAUAAAAAUCUCUAGAUUAAUACUUAAAUUUUGCAAAUAAAUAAAAAAUUAACUAUUAGAAAGUUAAAGGAAUAUUUAGAUUAUACAUCUUAAACAAAUAUUUAUAUAAAAACAUAGAGAUUAUGGAAAUUAAACUAAGAAAAAUAGAUAAUUAUUGACGUUUAGAAGAAGAAAAAGGCAGCUAUAUAUUUUUAGAAUCUAUUCAUAAUAGAUUAAAAAUAAUGACUUUAACAAUAAUUAAAGAACUUCCUAAAGAAAUAAAUGAACAAAUAUUAGAUAAAUUAAUAAUAGAAAAAAUAAAAGAUAUAUAUACAUACGAAAAAACUAUUAAUAUAUAUGAAGAUGAAGAAAAUAAUUUAUAUUAUAAAGAAAAGUAUGAGUACAAGUAAUAAUACACAUUUAAAAUUAAAUAAACUACUUAUAAAAAUAGAUAAAAUACAAAAAGAAAUACGAAAUAUAAUGUUAAUACUAGAAGAAAUGAGAAUAUCAAAUAAUAGACAAUUAUUAAAAUUAAAAUGCGAAAGAUUAAAACUUGAGAGCAAAUAUUUUAUUAUAGUAAAAGAAGAAUUAGUAGAUCUAGAUACAGCUGAGAGAAGAUUUGAAAAAAUAAUAGAUAAAAAGAAAGAUAAAAGAUACAAAUUAACCUAUGAGUUAGAAAUAAGAAAAAAAUUAAUAUGUCAAUAGGUGAAUACAUAGAAGAAUUAAAAUCAUUAAUAAAAAUGUUAAUAAAUGAUAUACAAUAUUUGAGAAAUGAAGUAAAAGAAACGAGAAACGAUAUAAAUAUAUUAAAAAUUGAGAUUAGAGAAUUAAAAGAAAAUAACAAAAAUAAAGAUAAGAAAAUAGAUAAAAAAAACUUACAGAAAAAGAGAUGACUCGAAUAGGAAAGAAACAUAUAGAAAAAGAAAAUAUAGUAAUAGAAACAGGAAGCAUGGAUGAUGAAUUUAGAAAAAAUAUAUUACCAAAAAUAUUAGAAGAGGAAGCAGAAUCUAAAGAAAAAUCAUUACAAAAAUUAAAAGUAGAAGAAAAAGAAGAUGAGUGAAGAAUUAAAUUUGUUAAUAGAAAAUUUUGAUCAAUUAAGCCUAAUUAAUAUAAGUGAAUACCAAAUUUUAAUGAAUACUGGAGGAGGGCCUAAUCCAGCAGGAACAUCUAAAUAGGAAUUACAUGAUACAGAUGAAAGUUAUGCACCUAUAUAUAAUAAACCAUAUAGACAAUUCUAUGAUAAAGCAAGAGAUAGACAACUACCUAAAGGAAGUAUAUAUAAAAAUAGAUUUGAACUAAAUGAUAAUUAUGAUAAACCAAUUGAUCAUGGAGGAACAAAACUAGAUUUAAAUUGUAAAAUAGAUACUAAAAAGGUCUUAUUAACUUGGGCAGAUUCAAUAAUAUUAUUCUUUUUAUAUAAUAAAGAUAACACAUGGAAAACUAUUGAAAGAAGAAUAUAUUUCUUAAUAGCAUCCUUUGAAGGAGAUGUUAGAAAUUAGUGAGAAAGAAUAAGCAAUGAUACAAAAACAUUAAUAAAAAGAAAUGUACAAAUAGAAAUAAUAAAAUCAGAUAGACAAGGUAUAGAAAAAUUAGUAGAAUAUAUUUUAGAUGAAUUUUUAGAAGAAAAUUGGAUAAGAAAUGUUGAAAAAGAAUCAAUAAGAGAAAAAGGUAGUGCUAGGAUCAAACUAAUAAAGUUAACAAUAUGUGAUAUGUGUAAAAUUAAAUAAUAUACUUGUGAAUUUAGAAACUAUUAUUAUGUUCAAUUUUAUAGUAAUGAAAACCAAGAAGUGUACCAAGACAUGUACUAUAAUAAGUUACCAGAUUCAUGGAGAAUAUAUUUUAAAAUAGAAUUUGAAAAAUAUGUUAGAGAUAAUACUAGAAUACCUAGGACUUUAGGUUUAAGAAUAAAAUUUUUAUUUGAAAGACUUGCAUAUAUAUGUCAACAGAGACAAUUAAUAAAAAAAUCAGGAAAAUUAACUAAAAUAAGUUAUGAAAACAUGGAAACCCCUGUGCAAUGAGGAUGUAAUCCUGAAAGAAGAAUUAAUAAAAGAAAGUAUAAAAAUAAAAAAUUUAAAAAAUUUAGAAAUUUUAAUAAAAAAUAUAUAAAACCUAGAAGAAGAUAUUACAAAAGAAAAAAUAACCCAUAUAAUCAACAGAAGAAUAAAAAGAAAAAUAAAUGCCAAUGUAAAUGUUGGAAUUGUGGAGAAAUAUGUUAUAUAAGCUCUGAUUGUGAUAAAAAGAAAGUUAGAAUAUUACAAAAAGAAUACUUAGAAAUAAAAGAUGGAUUAAGUGAAAUAUCAGAUAUUGAAGAAUACUAUGAUCAAGAAGUAUAUAUAAGUGAAACAAAAGAGAAUGAAUCAGGAUCUGAAUAAAGAGAUUGAAGAAAUAGAAAGUAAUAAUAUAAAUAUACAAGAAUAUGAAAGAAUAGAAGGAUAUGGAUUAAAAGUCACUUUUGAUAAUAAUAAGUUUAGAAAAUUGCAAAAAUUAUCCUUAGAUUUAAAAAUAGGAAAAUUGGAAGUCUUUGAUAGAAUUUGGAAAAGAGAAAGAAUAGCAAUAAAUGAAUAUCACAAAAUAGAAAAAAUCAUAGAUGUAAGGACAACUUAUGGACAAUAUAAAUUAAAUCUUUUAACAAAAAAUACAGUUGAUGAAUUAUUAACAAAGAUUAGCAAAAAACGGAGUGAAAAAAUUCAAUAUGUUUAUUUAGUAGGAAUACAAAUAAUGUUUAAAUCACUAUUUAGAGAAUGGAUAAACUCACCAUUAACUAUAACUUCACAUGCUGGAAGAAUAAUAAAUUUAAAAGACAAUCAUUUAGGAACAAUAGAAUGAAAUUUGGCAUAUCAAAAAAUUAUGUUUACAUGUUACCCAAAAUAUUGUGUAUCAUUGAAAAAUAGAAACUUUAAUAAAGUUUUAGGACUACAUUUCAAACUUCAUAUAGAUGAUAUAUGCAACCAGGUGAUCAAAUUAUGACUAUAUAAUAUAGAGCUUUAUACACAUUUACCAAUUCUAAUUAUGGGAAUAUUUAUUCCAAUAAACCAUAUAUUGAAGUUUAUAAAGAAUGUAAAGAUAUUAGUAAAUUAAUAGAACCAAAUAAACAAAUAAGUUUAAUUCCAGAAAAAUAUGAAUUUAGUAUAGCAAAAAAUAAACCUGAAAUAACAGAAUUAAAUGAAGGAGAAUGUUCUAAUAACAUAACAUUUAAGGAUGAAAAAUUAAUUAAAAGAUCAAAAAGUUUUAAAAUACAUAGUACAAACCAGUUAGAAGAAAUCAACAAAAUAAAAGAAAUAAAAUUAUACAGAAAUGCUGGAAAUAUGAAAAUAGAAGGGGAAUAUUAUAAUGGAAGAGAAAAUAUAAAUGGACCGAAUAUAUUAAUAGAUACAGGAUUUAGUGAAUGUCACAUAGCUUCAAUUAGAAAUAAAGGAUUAAUAACUCAUAAAACUGAGCCAUAUAAGUAUGUAAAUUUUGAUGGACAGGAACAUAUUACAGAUUUGAAAGUUAAUGUACCAAUAAAAAUAUGAGGAAUAGAUCUUUUAGUACCAUGUUACAUAGAUAAAAGUAUGGAUGUAAACCCUCAUAUACUUUUAGAAAUGAGUUUUUUAAAUGGAUUAGAAGAUUAUAGUAUAAAAAGAGAGUGAUUAUUUAUUGUUCAUAAUGGACAAACUACACUAUGUAAAAAGAAUUAGAUGAAUAAUUAGAUAAGUUUUCCAUUAGCUGUUUAUAUAGAAAUUACUAUUGUAGAAACAAAUAUAACAACUUAUGCUUUGAUAGAUACAGGAAGUGAUAUAACAAUAUUUAAAAUUUUUUUAAUAAAAUCAUGGAAUAAUAAUAGUAAUAUAAAAAUAACUGGAGUUACAGGAGAAAGUACUUAAAUAAUUAAUAGUGCCGAUAAAGUUAAUAUAAUUCUUGUAAGUAAACAAGUUACAAUAAAUAAGUAUAUAACUAUGAUAAACUAGAAUGUGAUAUAUUAUUAGGGAAUGACUUUAUACAACAAUUUCAAUAUUAUAAACAAAAUAAUUAUAUGAUAAUGCUACAAACACCUUGUGGACACUUAUUAAAAAUUUCUAGAGAAUUUAAACCUUAUAGAGUUCAGCCAGUCCAGCAUGGCGAUAAAUAGGAGAAAAAACCAAUCAUAAAUAAUGAAAUAAAAAAUAAAAGAAUAAUAUGUAAAAAAAAAUUCUAAAAACAGGAAUAGAAAUGAAUAUAAAAAAAAUCAUUGAACAACUAGAAAAAGUUUAUGGAGAAAAUCCAUUAUUAUUUUGGAAACCAUAUCACCCAAAAGUCAAAAUAGAAUUAAUAGAAAAUGUUAUAAUAAAAGUUAGACCAAUGAUGUAUAUUAUAGAAGAUAUACAAGAAAUUAAAAAUCAAAUAAAAGAAUUGUUAGAACAGAAACUUAUUAGACCUAAUAAUGAACCUCAUAGUAGUCCAACCUUUAUGAUUAUGAAACACUCUGAACAAGUUAGAGGAAAAGUUAGAAUGGUCAUAAAUUAUAAAGAAUUAAAUAAAUAUACUAAAUUUGAUGGUUACUUUUUACCAAAUAAAGAAAUGUUAAUAAAUCUUGCAAGAGGAAAACAAUAUUAUUCUAAAUUUAAUUGUAAAUCAGAAUUUUGGCAAGUAAAAAUGGAAGAAGAUAGUACAUAAUAUACUGCAUUUAGCACACCUCAAGGAAAAUAUGAAUGGUUAGUUAUGUCAUUUUGUUUGAAAAAUGAACCAUAAAUAUAUCAAAGAAAAAUGGAUAAUAUAUUUAAAAAGUUUAACGAAUUUCUAAUAGUUUAUAUAGAUGAUAUAUUAAUAUAUUCUAAUAGUAAAAAAGAGCAUAGAAAUCAUUUAAUCCAAUUUAUUACGAAUGUAAAAAAGAAGGAAUUGUAUUAUCUAAAAAGAAAUCUAUAAUAGAAAAAUAAGAGAUAGACUUUUUUGAAUUAUCAAUAGGUAAAAGAGGAAUAAAAUUACAGACUCAUAUAUUCAAAAAAGAUAGAAAGUUUUUCAGAUAAAUUAAAAUCCAAAAAACUGAUAAAUUUUUUUUUAGGAUGUUUAAACUAUUCUGAAAGAUUUAUUGAAAAUCUUUCUAAGAAAAGAUAUAAAAUUCAAGUUUUAAUUAGAAAAAUAAAUACUAAAAGAUGGAAUGAAGAACAUACAGGAAUAACUAAAUCAUUAAAAUAAGAAUGGAAAAAUUUACCAAAAUUAAGUUUACCAGAUGAAAAAGAUAAUUUGAUUGUUAAUACUGAUACCUCAGAUAAAUAUUUGGCAGCUAUAUUAAAAACAAAUCUAAAUGAAAUUUGUAGAUAUUCAAGUGGAACCUUUAACCAAGCAGAAAUAAAUUAUACUACUCAUGAGAAAUAAUUACUAGCAAUUAUUAGAGGAAUAAAGAAGUUCUCAUUAUUCUUAUUGUCCAAAAAAUUUAUUGUUGAAACUAAUAAUUCUCAAGUUACAGGAUUAGUCAGGAAUAAAUUACCAUCAGAAUCCCAAUACAGAAGGCUCCAUAUAUGGCAAACUUAUUUAGUAUUUUAUAAUUUUGAUAUAGUCCAUAUUAAAGAAGUUAAUAAUUUUCUUGCAGAUUUUCUCAGCAGAAACAUAGAAUUUGUUGAUGGAUAAAGAUAAGAUCAUGGAAUUAUACCAAUUUAUCCUACAUAUACAAAAAAUGACAGAUUUUUUUAGAGAAGAAUCCGAAGAUAUAAACUCUGGAGCAACUCAGAUCUCAGAAAUGUUCAACUCAAAUAUAAAAAUAUUGUUGAAUACUGAGCAUAAAAAAUACGCCAUCAAACUCAAAAAUCAAGUUUAUGCUAUUGCAGCACAAUUAAAAGAUAUAUUGUCUGAGACAGAUAUACCAAAGAGCUCAGAAAUGAGUUUUCCAAAUCAAUACCAAAUAGGGACCAGCUGGAAGCAGCAAUGGACCCAAACGUGACAACAUACCUACUGAUAAUAAAGGAGAUUCCAUUUCUGUAUCAUCAACCAAGAAAAUUAUGAUACAUGAAGAUAAAAGAGAUACCAAAAUAAUCAGCAUCAUAGACCAAGAAGAUAAAAUCCCUUUAGAUCCAAAAGAAGAAAAAUAUGCCGAAAUAGUCAGAAUUGCUUAUGAAAUAAAAAUGAGUGAUUCAUAUUUCAUUUCUCUAAGAAAUAAUGUUUACCCCAAAAUAACAGGCAUGGAAGGAGGUGAUCCUUCAUUUAUAAAAAUUAUGGCAGACUAUGAAUUCAUGGAUUUGGUCCAUCCAAGAAAAGAUUUUAUUGAAAUUUUAAAGUUUGCUGACAUAUUCAUUAAAGAAGUAUCCAGAUUCGUCAGAGGAAGAAAAAUAUUUUUGAAAUUCUAUUCAAUAAGUUCAGAAUAUGAUGGAGUUGUUUAUUAUCCAGUUGAACACAUAAUCUCAAUUGGAUAUGUUGCAGCCAAUUUCCAAAUUGAUAUUACAGAGAAAAAUAGAAAGUCCCAACAGUGACAAAAUCAUGGAUCAGACAUAGAAGAGCACUUGGAAUUAAAGUCAUUUACAACAUUGCCAAAAAUUUGUUUGAUAAAAAAUUCUCGUGCUUGAGCCAAUAUGAAAAUUGGAUGCUGGUAUCCAAUGGAGGAUAUGCAAAAUCAAAAAUUUUAAAAGACUAUAUUACAAGAUUUGAUAUAUAACAAUUCUCAGGAUGUCCUACCACUAUAAAAGAAUCCUGUCAGCUAAGGGAGUGCCCCAGCUGCAUGUGAAGACAUUGAAGAUAAGAGCAAUAAUAGAAAAAUAUGCUCUCUAGAUAAAAAGUUGAAGCAACAUGUAGACUCAAGGAGGAAAAUAGAGAGGCAAGUGUGCCUUGCUGAUGUAAUCAAUGAUGUAAUAGAGUCUCAUAAACUUGUAUAAAUAGAGACAUUAUUAUAGAAGAAUAUCAUCUCAUCCUAUCUUGAAAUCUCGAAUUGUAAGCAAUAGCUCAUUCUCAAUUUGAAAAACCAAUUUUUCUGGAAAUCCUUUUAUAUCAAAUAGAAGUCUUAUUUUAAUUCUGAUACAAAUAAAAUCCCAAUAUUUUGAUAUCAGUAUGAGCUUCUAAAUCUUUUUCUCAUAGAUUUUUGAAGGAUCUAAUAGAAAGUUUCCUUCUUAUUUUAGCAAAAAGAGAGUUUUUCUUUAACAGAAGUCUAAAAUUUUAUUAUUUAGAAGUUGAUACAGUGAGAGCAAGUAUCUAAAAUAGUAACAAUUCCAUGAAGGCAGGAGGCCGUUGAAGGAAGCAGUUUACAAAUUCAGAGCUUGAAGAUCACUUGGUUCUAAGAAUAUAGGUCUAGAUCAAACCUAAAGUAAAACUAUUAAACUUGUGUCAAAAUUAGAGUGAAUCUUUUUAAGAUCUUAAAAGAAUCACAUGAACAAUUGCAUGAUGAUUAUUUUGAUAAAUGCCAAGAUAUACAAUUGAAGGAUUAGAUAAUUUAUUAGAAAGAAUGUUAAAAGAAAUAAAGAAUAUUAUAUCUCAAUUAAAAAAUAUAAAUUUACCAUUUGAAGAAUAUGGUAUUUUACUUAGAAAAUAUGAUAUGUAUGUUACAGAUUAUUCCUAUUUAUUAGAUCAUAGAAUGAUUUUAUAUUCAAAUAUCCAAAAUAGAUUAAAUAGAAGAUAAAAGAUUAAAAGAUUAGGACAUAUGUUGUAAUAUAGAAAGAAUAAUUUCAUUAAAGAUAAUAUAGACAUUUCCAUAAAAAGGAAUAGUGAUAGGUCAAAUAAAAAAAUCUCCCUUUUGAGUAAGGGGUUGGAUGGGGGGGGGGGGGGAGGGUUUUGGUUUUUUGCUUUUUUAUUUUUUGGGGGGGGGGAGGAAAUUGGUUUUUGACUUUUUGAUUUUUGAUUUAAUUAUUAAUAUUAUAAAUAUAGUUGAUUUUUUAGCUCUUGAUUGGUCCCAUUAGUUUCUAAAAUACAUUAUUUUCUAUUAUUUUUAGUCACCCAUUCUUCAAUAAAAUAAUCUUACACGUAAAUCUAUUUUUUUUAAAAUUUUAAUCACACAUUCUAUAUUAAAUCACUAUUUCAAAAUACAUUUUUGAAAAAAUAAAGAGGGCUUAAACAGGCUUUUAGAAAAACAUAAUUAUAUUAUUUGGUCAAAAUUAUAAGGACAUUUUGGACUUCUCCUACAAAUUUUUUAAAGGUUUUGUACUUUGGAUGGCACAUAUGAAAGGUUUAAGACAAGUUUGUUGCAAAAUAAAAAGUUUAGUACCUUGGCUAUAAUUUUUCUUUUAUUUUAAAGAGGGGGGAAUGGAUAAAAAUAAUAAUAAAAUUAAAUAAAUUCUUAAGCCAAGCAAAUGUGUAAACUAUAUAAAAAAAAAAAAAAAACAACAACAACAACAAAUUGACAUAAUUUUUUUUAUAAAGACAGAGGGUAAUUAUAUUCACUCCAUAAUUUUUAUUUAUUGCACCACAAUUAAUUGUAUUUAAGGUUCUUAAUUUUCGUUCAUUAUAGCAUUUAUGUUCUUAACGAUUUUUUAUGUCAUUCAUGUCCUCAAUUUUUUCAUUAAUUAACACAUUUCGUAUUUUAUAAUAGUUUUAUGUCCAAAAGUAUAUUGAAAAUGGCAUAAAAUAUCUUAUUUAAUAAUUAAUAAAUAAAUAAAUGUGCAAAUUCUUUUUUUUUCCCCAUUUCAAAUUAUGAAAGACAAAAUAUUUUGAUAUAAUUCAUCAUAAAAAAAGAUGUACUGAUUAAUGGAACGUUGAAUGUAAGAAUUCGACGAAAAAAAGUUAAGAAAAUAAUUGAUAUAAUGAGUAAAGAUUGAAAAGUUUAAUUACAAUCAAAACGUAGUAUAUCAAAUAAAAAUUUUGUUGACAAUAUAACCAUCCACUAUAAAAACAUUGUGUCAGUGUGCUAAAUUUAUCUUUUGAUGACAAUUAGUGCUAGUUUAGCAACCUUUAAAAUUUUAAAUUGUUUGUUAUAGUAUCAUUCUCCAUCACAUAUUCGCACAAUAAAAUAUUCUAUAUACAAAUCAAUAAAGUUUAUUUAUUUUUUAACCACACAUUUGUCAAAUAAUACUGUUCAAAAUUUUUUAAUUUUCCAAAUAAUGGGUGACAAAUGUGGUCUUAGAUUUUAGAGAAACUUAACUUAAACCUACAUUUUAGUUUUCAAUUUAAAAAAUUGGGUAGUAAUUAUUUUUUUUAAUAAAAAAUCAGAUAAUGUGUUUUGAAAUAUUGAUUGUUUGAAAAAUGUGUGGUUAAAAAUAGAAUUUUUUUUUUGAAUUUAUGUAUAAGAUUAUUUUAUAGGAAAAUGUAUGGUUGAAAAUGGAUUUCGAAAAAAUGUGUUUUGAAAAAAAAAAAAGGGACUCAAAUAGGAGACUUAUUUUUUAAUUUAAAAACAUAUUAUACACACCCUACAACCGUCCACCCACACCCACUUUCAAAACAUUUGCACAUGGUUCACAAUAUCCCACCUAACCCCACCGUAAACAGGAAAAGACUAAUGGACAGGGCCACGUAGGCCUUGUUCGUCUAGGGGGUGCACUCUGCGCACCCUAUUGGUAGGGGGCCUGUGCCGACGUGGCCCUAUUCAUGUAGCAGCCCUCUCGUAAAUAUCUUUUACUUUCCUUGAGACUAUUUCUCUCCAUUAUACAAGCAAAUUGAAUACAAGUCUCUAUAGAGAGAAAAAAACGAUUCAUGGAGGAAUCACUGCUCAUUGCCUUCAUUUGUGUCGAACUUACUUUUUCCCAAUUUGACGUUGUGGCCUCCCACACUUUUGUGAAACAUAAUCAUCACAUAAGUUGCUAGAGUUUCCUGUGAAUCAAGCUAUUAAAAAUCUCAAUAAUUCUAAUUGUAUAGAAUCCUUCCCACAGAAUAAAUUCAGAAAACUCACAUGGGAUGGGUCCCGUGUGAGUUUAUAUUGAAAAAAUAUAACUACUCACCUCAUGAAUAGUGUGAUCUAUAAGAGAUCUGUGCAUUUCUUUUCUGUAAGUACAGUGCAGUUCUAAAAAUCUCUAGUUUGACUCUGGCACCAUCUGUGAAUCAAGCUAUUAAAAAUCUCAAUAAUUCUAAUUGUAUAGAAUCCUUCCCACAGAAUAAAUUCAGAAAACUCACAUGGGGUGGGUCCCGUGUGAGUUUUAUAUUGAAAAAAUAUAGCUACUCACCUCAUGAAUAGUGUGUGAUCUAUAAGAGAUCUGUGCAUUUCUUUUCUGUAAGUACAGUGCAGUUCUAAAAAUCUCUAGUUUGACUCUGGCACCAUCUAAUUUGGCUGGAAAGCCAUAAAAAACCAUUGGGUGGUUGUGGAUUGAGGUGUAGGUGGUGGGUGUUGAAUCUAAGGUGGCGACAAUGUAGUGGACAACGUGGGGUGAGGGAGACAAAGAGUUAUUUGUAACUAGUUAAUUAUGUAAUUGUAAUUAGUCAAAUUGAUAAUUUGUGAUUAAACUUGUAAUUGUGACAAUAUUUUUAUGUGUGAUUUGAGUGUAUUGUGAACUUAAUCUAUUUAAUUGAUAAACGGGUCACAAAAAUUUUAUUAGGUGGUAUUUUUUAAAGAAUUUCACAAGUUUCUUAGAUUUGAAGAUAUAUUUUAAAAUUACGAUAAUUAUGUAUUUUUUCUUAGAGUUUAAGAGGACGAUAAGUUUAUCAAGAAAUCAUCAUUGAUAUUGAGGCCUUGUGUCUUUUAAGGUAAUAUGAUGGUUUAUGCAUGCUAAAGACUUGAAGGUAAUAAAUUUUGCUAAAAUGUUUUUAACGACCUCCAUAAUAUUAGCAUCCUUCAAAUUAAGAUGGCAAUUACAAUAAGCUCCUUUUUAACCAUGAUUUGAAAACUCUAUUUUUUUUUUUGACAUAUUUAUUUUCAACUACAUUCACAUAAUAAAAUAUUUUACAUGUGAACCCCAAAUUUUUCUUACUUUUUAAUCAUACAUUCUCCCGAAAAUCACUAUUUAAAACAUUAUUUUUCUCAAAUAAUGAUUUUCAAACAGGAGCUAAAUCGUCAAUGAAAAUUAAUUAUUAAAUAAGUCGUUUAUCCAUUUAGUAUGAUCCACAUUUUAUAAAUAUUUAAAAGCACUAUCGAACAAGCACAUUGAUUAUUAAGUUAAUUUGUAUAAGUUCACAUAAAUUAGUAUUUAUUUAGAAUAGUAAAAACUUGGAAAUUUGUUGUCUCACCAAAUCAUGUGCUCUUGAAUCAGAAUCCCAAAUAAUGAAUCAGAGCACAUCCAGCUAUCUAGCAUCUGCUGCUACAGGUUGAGAGGCAAAGGGUGUCCCUCUUUUCGGUUGUGAACACAUGGAAGUGAAUUCGAAAAUUGACACAAUAAUUUAUACUUUGAAGAUUUUUUUUAUGAAACAUGAAAAUUUAGAUAUAACCAAAUCAAAAAAGAACCAACUCCGACUAAGGAAUUUCUCUUAAAAAUUAAUAAAUUGGGAGAAUGUUUUUUUAAUUCAAAUCCAUAUUUACGAAAUCAACGAGUUACCAAUCACGAAUUCGAUCAUAGUACUGUUGCUUACACUUCUACUACGUCAAGAACAUAAGAGAAUGUAAGGAAUAUUCUUUGAAUUUUGCCUGCUGUAUAGACCCUAUUUCACAGGCCAAUACAGGCCCCCCUCACAUGCUAGGUAGAUGGGUGGGGAUGGCUGAUUAUUUGAAAAAAAAUAAAAAAUUCCCCCACCCCUCCCCCAUGUAUUGUGUGUGGCCGGUAACAGGGCCUAUACAGCCAGUAGGUUCCAUAUUCUUUGGUAGUUGAAAUAGAGAAAAAUAAGUGGAAUUUAAUUAUAAUUUUCUAAAAAUACUCAUAAUUAUAAUACUAGGAAAGGACAAUUACUUUUAGGUAGUUUUACACUUGAGGCACAGCUGACUGGUAUUCUGAAUCAGGUUGUCAUCUUAAGUGCGUUUGGAUACUUUUGUUCUAUAUCUUUAUAAGAUAAUGUAUCAAAAGCUGAAGUUAAGAUAUAAUUCAAUUGGAUCAAGUUGCCAUUUUUCCCCCUUUAAUAAACAUGCGGUUGUUACUCUCUAUUUUUCCAGCUUCAUCCUUUGAAAAUCUCAAAUUUUAUCGCUCGAAUAUUUUAUUGUAUUUGUGGAAGUUGAUAAUAAAAUAUUUAGAGUGAUUUGAAAAGAAUUUUUUUUAAGUUAAAAUAAUUGGUUUCUAGAAACACAAACACAAAAACUAUAAGGUAUUUACAACUGGAAAGAUCCAUGAAGAUGUCGAUGAGAAUCACUAAACUUGGUGGAGUUAGGCUCCCUUGAACCAAACCCUAAUUCAUUAGCUAUGUUUGGAUUCCAUUUUUAGAAACUCACUUUUUCUCAAAUUCAUUUUCAACCAAAAUCCAUAUUUUUAUUCAAAUUUUCAACCAAAAAUUUCAUCAACUUUUAUCAAAAUGUGCUAAAAAUCUGUGUCGCCAAGCUUUUUGAUCAACUAAUUCAAUCCCCUAUUUCAAGGACAUCUAUGUUAGGUAGGUCCGAGGGCUGCUAAAUAGUCGUAUGAAUCCAUCUUAAUGAUUUUAUUUCUAUUUUAGCAAAUUAGUUUUGGGAAUGCUUGCUGGUUAGUGUUGUAGUUUUGCGAUGAGAAGGAAUUGGAAGAGAGCGAGCUCUGAAUUUUAAGAAUUCUAAAUUUCUCGCUCUCACCUACUGGCUGAUGAAAAUGGACUUACUAGUUGAGAUAUUCAUGUUACUUCGUCUGCAUUAGUUUGUAUAUGAAUUCCUGAUUUUUCUUUCUAUGCGGAUUUCAUGUUCAUCUAGGUUGAGGAAUGUUAGACAUUCAAUCCAAUGAGGACAAAUUCCUACACUUUAACGUGAAUUGAUUGAAAAUUUUGGUUCCGUAUUGAUUUAUUUUGUAUUAGAUUAAAUAAUGAUGUUGGUACGAGAUUAAUCAAUUUGUUACUUGCAACUUGCGAAUACACGAGGAUAUAUAGGUCGGAUUAAUUCAUUGAGUAAACCAAUUUUGCUUCUAAUUUGUGGUUAGUGACAUCCAAUCCUUUUGGCCAUUUGUCAAGCCCUGAUCAACGUUAUUAAAAUCGGAUCGGACCGAUCAGUUCAACUAGAAAAAUUGAGAAUCGAACCAAAAUUCUGUUGGGUUAUAACAUAUUAACCAUUAAAUAAAGAACUAAACAAUCAUCCGGGAAUCCGACCAAUUAACUAGCGAAUUGAAAAUCGAUCAAGGUUUUACCAAUUUGACCAGUUCCAAAAAUAUUAAAAUUAAAUUUAAAAUGAUAAGAUUCCUUGAACAAUGUUACUUGAAAACUCUUCCAAUUCUCCCAAUAAGGACGACUUUUAUACUAAUUUCUUAACUCUUUCCAAUUGAUGCACUUUCAAUGUGCGAUUAACAUACUUUCAAUAAAGUCAAUACUAUAUCCAUAUAAUAUCAACACUUACUGAUUUUUUUACUUAAUAAUUAUGACACAGAUGGUGCAUAAUGAAUGAAUAUAAAUUUAAAUUACUCAAUUUCUUCACGUUGUCGGAACAUUUUAUUUUAUUUUUUAUCUUACAUAUUAUUAAACUUAAAACGAAAAGAUUCCAUGAACAAUGUUACUUGAAAAACAUGUCCACUACAUUAUUCCAAUUCUCCCAACAUGGGCCACUUUUAUACCCAUUUCUUCGAUCCUUCUUCGACGUGGGACUGACAAACUUCCAAUAAAGCCAAUAUAAUCUCCAUAUAAUAUUAACACUUAUUGAAUUUCUAUUUAAUACUUAUGACAUAGAUGGUGCAUCAUGCAUGAUUAUAAAUUUAAGUUACUCAAUUUCUUCACAUUGCCGGAUCAUUUUUUAUUAUUUGAUCUUAUACAAAUUAUUAAACUUAAAAUGAAAUGAUUCUGUGAACAAUGUUACUUGAAAAACGUGUCCACUACAUGUUGGAAAAUAAGGGGUUAGAGAAGAAACAACAACAAAAUUAUAUAAACAAAAUGAAUAGAAAUCACGAAAUACAUCAAUAACGAAUUUGAGGCUUGAACACGGGAUUGUUGUCUUUAAACUAUGUUUGCCCCCUCUCAAGAUUGAAUGAGAUGUUUAAGGGUUUUUGCAAACGGUUUGUAGGAUUAUAUCAAGCGUUGUAAAGGAUUUAACACCAAAGCAAAAGUGCAAUUCUCCAAAACUUUAAGAACACAAAGGAAGAUAUUGAAUAUGAAUUUAAAUCAUUAGUUUGAUUCAAUAUGGAAUGAUAUAUGGAUCUCAAGGUGUUUUCAAUGAUUCUAAUAAUGUUGAUUACUCAUCACCUAUUCAUAGGUCUCAAUCAAUGCAUCACGAAAUGAUGCCAAAAGAAGAUGAAAAGUGGCAAUUUUUAAUUCAAAAUGGCUCCCAAGUUUCAAAUUGAAAAAUCAGCCAACGGCUAUUUUUUAAUACUAUGCGUACGCAUAAUAUAAAUCGUGCGUACGCAUAGUAGAAGCAAAAUUUAAUUCUGAUUUUGUCAAAACACAUCUCGCGUACGUACAAAAUUAAGCCUGUGCGUACGCAUAGACAUAAAAAUCAAAUUUUACAUUUUUCAAUUUCUUUUGAUUAUACCAAUUCUACAAUUGAGCCCAACAAUAAGUUCAUUAUCAUUCCAUUGAUUUUGAACAAAUUUUCAACAAUCCCCCACUUAUUCAAAAUCAAUACGAUCACAUAUUCAAAAAGACGGCACUUAUACAUAAGGAUUAGAUAUCUUUCGAUUUGAAUCUAACCAUAGUGUAAUUCAAACAAAGUAAAGUCAAAAUUAGAGGGAGCAUGGAAGUUUUGAACCAAUUAUUCCUUGUGACAAUACCGGUGAGAACACACACAUAAGUAUCACGUGUUCUCAAGUCCCUCAACUCGCUUAGUGCUUUUAUGGCCUUGCGCUCAUCCUAGUCAAUGAACGUUUAAGAGAGAAACUCCAACUCUCUAUUGAGGCGGCACCACCUUGAAGUUCAUUUAGGUGAAGUUCUUCCAAUAUCUUUGUUAUUUUUAGAGAUACUUGUAUUUUAGCACUGAACUUCAUUAAGAGUUUUAAUGUUCAACCCUCACUUCAGUAACAACUAGCAUUAUUUAAUUAGGAUAGGAUUAUUGCGGAUUUAAAUAAUGCUGCAACUAUCCACUUUUCGAAUGACUUGUUGUUACCCUUUGACCCCGUGGAUUACCUUUUGAGUAAUGACAGGUAGGGUUGCCGUCAUUGGUGGACCUUUUUAAUUAAGGAGUUUCAACCCCAUCCUACUCGACGUGGACGCCACUAAAUCUCUAUUUAGUGCUUUAGUUAAAGGAUCAGCUAGAUUCUCAAUUGACCUUACAUAAUUUAGGGAAAUUAUUCAAUCUUUGAUUAAUUUUCUUAUGUAGUCAUGUCUCAGACUCAUAUGUCUAGACUUUCCAUUGUAUACCUUGUUAUAUGCCUUUGCUAACAUGGCUUGACUAUCACACAUGAUAGGUAUUGAAGAGAUAUUCUUCGAUCUCAAAGGUAUAUCAUAUAAGAGAUCCUUAAGUCACUCAACCUCUUUCCCGGUAUCCAAUAAAACUACAAAUUCAGAUUCCAUGGUCGAGUGUGUUAUACAUGUUUGUUUCUUUGAUUUCCAAGAAACAACACCUCUUCCAAGAGUGAAUACCCAACCCGAAGUGGAUUUACUUUCACCCGUGCUAGAUAUCCAACUAGUAUCGGUAAAUCCUUCCAAUAUCGCCGGGAAUUUAGUAUAUUGUAUGCCCAAAUUCUUGGUUUUCUUUAAGUAUCCAAGAACUCUCACAAUAGCCUUCUAAUGAUCAUUACUCGGAUUGUUAGUAAACCUACUAAGUUUACUUAUUGCAUAAGCUAUAUCCGAUCUUGUGCAUUGAACAGCAUACAUAAGACUCCAUAUAGCACUUGCAUAUUCCAAUUGAGCAAUCGCCCUUUCAUAAUUCUUUAUUAAUUUUGAACUUGGAUCAAUCAGGGUACUACAUUCCUUUUUGUUCAAAUGUUUGAACUUAUUUAUCAUAUUCUCAAUAUAAUGUGUUUGACUUAGAUAGUAACCCCCACUAGUCUUUGUGACUUUGAUACCUAAAAUGGUAUCCACUUGUCCAAGAUCCUUCGUCUUGAAUGUGGAAGAAAGAAACAUUUUUGUUUCUUCUAUUCCGUCCAUGUGAUUACUCAUAAUCAGCAUGUCAUCAACAUACAAGCAUAUAACUGUCACAUAAUCGUCACAAACUUUAGAAUAUAAACAUUUAUCAACACUAUUAUAUUUAAACCCGAAUGAUGUUAUUGUUAAGUCAAACUUCUCAUGCCAUUUCUUUGAUGCUUGCUUCAGACCAUAUAAAGAUCUCACCAACUUGCACACUUUAUGUUCAUUUCUAGGUAGGGCAAACCCUUCGAAUUGUUCCAUAUAGAUCUCCUCAUCGAGAUUUCCAUUUAGGAAUGCCGUCUUGACAUCCAUUUGAUGAACAUGCAAGUCAUAUAUUGAAGCGAAAGCGAAUAAUAUCACAAUCGAUGUUAUUCUAGCUAUCGGUGUAUAAGAAUCAAAAUAGUCAAUUCCUUCCUUUUGUCGAUAAUCCUUUGGCUACUAAUCUAGCCUUGAAGGUAUUUAAGGAUCCAUCAACAUUGUAUUUUCUCCUAAAUACCCAUUUGCAUCCAAUAAGCCUGGAUCCCGAUGGUAAAUCAACAAGUUCCAAAGUAUUAUUGGACAUUAUCGAAUCCAUUUCGUCCUUAAUUGCAUCUUUCCAAAAGGUGCUAUCACGAGAAGCCAUAGCUUCUUUAUAAGUCUUAAGAGUCGGUUUCUACUUGUAGAACAAAAGGAAUUGUUCUCACAACGUUCAACUCAUUUCCCUUUACUAAGUAAAAGGAGAUAAGUUGAGAAUCGAUUUCAUCCGAUCCCAAAGACUUCUCAACUCGAGUUCUCUUGCUUCUUCGUGGUUUACUAGAUUCAUCAACAUCCUUACAAGAUAUUUCAUCAUGUAUUCCACUUGAGCUAGAGAUAUUUUCAAGAUUUUUCCUCAAUUCAUUAUCCGAAGAUAACGAAUCAUCAAAGAACUUCACAUCGUUGGAUUCAAUAAUCACAUUGGACUCCAAAUUUAGUAAUCUAUAAGAUUUGCUAUUGUUUGCAUACCAACAAAGGCACAUUUAAUGCCUCUUGAACCCAAUUUGGUCCGAUUAGGAUUCGUGUUCUUGCAAUAGGCAAGAUACCCCCCACAUUUUGAAGUAUCCAAUUUUCGGUUUUCUUCCUUUCCACAAUUCAUAAGGAGAAACCUUAGUAUAUUUUGAAGGAAUCCUAUUAAGUAUUCUACAUGCACUUAAUAAAGUUUCAUCCCCACAAGUUAAAUGACAACUUAGUAGGAAUAAGCAUGGCAUUUAUCAUUUCUACAAAUGUUCUAUUUUUUCUUUCUAUUAAGCCGUUUUGUUCGGGUGUCCUAGGUGCAGAACAUUGAUGAAUAAUUUCAUGUUGUUCACAAAACAAAUUAAAAUCAUUGGAAAAGUAUUCACCACCUCUAUCACUCCUUAAAAUUUUAAUUUUAUUACCUAGAUAAUUUUCAAGCUCAUUCUUGUAUGUGUUAAACAUGUCAAAGGCUUCACUUUUAUGUUUUAUCAAAUAAACAUAAGUAUGUCGAGAAAAGUCAUCUAUAAAAGUUAUAAAAUAUUUAUUUCCACCUCUAGUUAACAUAUCAUUAAGCUCAUAUAUAUCGGUAUGAAUUAAUUCUAAAAAACUAGAGGUUCUCUUAAUACUUUGAUAUGGUUUUUUAAUCAUUUUAGAUUCUACACAUAUUUUGCAUUUAUGCUCAUCAUUUUCAUCAUAUGAGAUCAAGUCAUAUUUUUUCAUGCGUUUCAUUGUAUUUCUACCAACAUGACCUAAUCUAGUGUGCCAUAAUGAAAAUAAAUUCAUAACAUAAGCAAAAUUACUUUUAUUCAUUUCAUUGUCAACGGUACAUAAUUUGACCAUUCCUUCAUACGAAUAGCCUUUUCCAACAAAUUUCCCAUUAAGGGAUAGUACAAGUUUGUCGGACUCAUAAACGCAUUUGAUGCCCGAUUUUCCCAAGAGAUUGUCACUAACUAGGUUCCUAUUCAUAUCCGGAACAUGUAGUAUAUUAAUUAGCGGUUUUCCCAGAAGUGAAGAUAGUGUCUACAAUUCCUUUUCCAAACACAUUAAACCGCAUCUCGUUACCCAUUUGAAUAUCUUGUUCUCCAUCCAUUUCUUGAUAAGUUUUGAACAAAGAUUUAUGACAUGAUACAUGUACCGCAGCACAAGUAUCAUACCACCACCCGGGAACAUUUCCUUUUAUUGCUUUUACUUCACUUAUGGUGGCCACAAUUUUGUCAUCUUGGAUGGAAUUCACUUUGAUCUCAAACUUAUUUUGUUUCGAUGCCUACAAUCCUUGACAUAGUGAUCAGAUUUUUCACACACAAAGUAACCUCCUUUUGUCUUCUUCUUGGACUUGUUAAAGUUCCUAGAAGGCUUCCUUUUGUUGGAUUUUGCUGGCGGUUCUAUUUUUUCCACAGCAUUUGCUUUAGAAGAACCCUCAUGAGAAUUUUCAAUUUUAUCAUGUAUUCUCGACUCCUCUUCGAUUCGAAGAUACUUUUGCAAUUGUUCCAAAGAAUAAUCUUCGGAACUAUGUAUGAUCUUCUUCCGGUAUUCUUUUCAAGUUCCAGGAAGUUUGGCAAUUAUAGCCCCCACUUGAAAGGUCUCCGGUAUAUCAAUUUUCACAGCCUUUAAUUUGUUGACAAUCGCUUGCAACUCAUGCACUUGGGGAAGAAGAGAGAUAUUUUCUAAGAAUUUAAAAUCAAAAGAAACCAAAAAUUUCUUUUUACAUUCUUCUUCCGCCUUGUACUUACUUUCCAAUGCUUCCCAGAUUUCUUUCGCCGAAGUUGAAUUGGUGUAUAGAUCAUACAAAUGAUCCGACAAUGUAUUCAAGAUGUGGCCACGGCAAAUCAAUUCAUCUUCUUGGAUUUUUGUCUCUCGGUCUUGAUUGCUUCGGAUUCUCCAUUUGUUGGUUUCGACAAAGGCGCCAAAUCUGGAUCAAGAAUAUAAAAAAUCUUCAACAUCGUUAGGAGGAAUUUCAACUUGUCUUGUCACCGCGUGAAGUUAGUCCCGUCAAAACGAUCCAAUCUCACUAGAUCUUGAUUCAUGAGUUUGAUGGUUGCCAUAGUUGUAUCAUUCUCCAUCGCAGGAUAUAAUUUGAGAUUGUUAGAAAAUAAGGGGUUGGAGAAGAAACAACAACAAAAUUAUAGAAACAAAAUGAAUACAAAUCACGAAAUACGUCAAGAACGAAUUUGAGGCUUGAACACGGGAUCGUUGUCCUCAAACUAUAUUUGUCCCCUCUCGGGAUUGAAUGAGAUGCUUAAGGAUUUUGGCAAACGGUUUGUAAUAUUAUAUCAAGCCUUGUAAAGGAUUUAACACCAAAGCACAAGUGCAAUCCUCCAAAACUUUAAAAACACAAAGGAAGAUAUUGAAUAUGAAUUUAAAUCAAUAGUUUGAUUCAAUAUGGAAUGAUAUAUGGAUCUCAAGAUGUUUUCAAUGAUUCUAAUAAUGUUUGUAUUGAUCACUCAUCACCUAUUUAUAGGUCUCAAUCAAUGCAUCACGAAAUGAUGCCAAAACAAGAUGAAAAGUGGCAAUUUUUAAUCCAAAAUAGCUCCCAAGUUUCAAAUUGAAAAAUCAGUCAAUGGCUUUUUUUUAACACUAUGCGUACGCAUAGUAUAAACCGUGCGUACGCAUAGUAGAAGCAAAAUUUAAUUCUGAUUUUGCCAAAACACAUCUCGCGUAUACACAAAAUUAAGCCUGUGCGUACGCAUAGGUAAAAAAUCAAAUUUUGCAUUUUUCAAUUUCUUUUGAUUCUACCAAUUCCACAAUUGAGCCCAACAAUAAGUUCAUUAUCAUUCCAUUGAUUUUGAACAAAUUUUCAACACUACACUAUUUCAAUUCUUCCACAACAAUGUUAUAUAAAUUUUUUCUACAUAUUUUGUACAGUUGUCUUCCUGUACCAAUUCUGUUAAAAAAAAGAGUUGUACUUGUAGAGUUUUCCGUUCUCCCAACAUGGAUAAUUUUUAUAUCCAUUCUUUACUUCACCAAUUGAUACACGAAAUCGACAAAAUUCCGAUAAUAUUUAUUGAAAUUUUACUUAAUACUUAUGACACAAAUGGUGCAUCAUGCAUGAUUAUAAAUUUAAGUUAUUCAAUUUCUUCUCGUUGUCGGAUCAAUUUUUUUUUUUUUUUUUUUAUCUUACAAAUUUGGCAGUAAAAAUGAAAUGAGUUUUUAAGUGGUUCAACAAAUUACAAACUAAUAAAUUGUAUAUUUUAAAACAUAUAUUUGACAUAUUUGUAUAUCUUUUGAAUUGCAGGUAUGAAAUUUUAAUUAUAUAUUGUUGUUAAAUAAAAUUAAAUUGUUUAUAAAUAUUUAUUUACUUAUUUACCUGUGGUUUGAUAAUUCCAGUUGAAACUUUUGAACCACUUUACCCUUUUCAUUCUUUGGUUCAAUAUCUAGGUCGGGUUACAAAAUAUUGGUUAAUAUUAUAUGGAUAUGAUAUUGAUUUUAUUCGAAGUUUGUCAAUCCCACAUCGAAUGUGUAUCACUUGGAGGAGUGAAGAAAUGGGUAGAAAAGCAGAUUAUGUUGAGAGAAUUGAAAUGGUGCGUGUUUCAAGUAAUGUUGUUCAUGGAAUUUUUUCGUUCUAAGUUUAAUUUUAAUGUUCUCGUAAGUAGUCAAAUUGGUAAAACAGUGAUAGGUUUUUGGUACGCGAGUUUUUCUUAAUUGAUCAGUUCUUUAUUUAAUGGUUAAUAUGUUAUAAUCAAACCGAAUUUUGGUCUAAUUGUCGAUUUUUCUUAUUGAGUUGUAUGGUCCAAUUCAAUUUUAAUAAUAAUGUUGAUUAUAGACGUGCAUUCUUAGAAAAUAGGAAAAAUUAUAGUGGCUAUAAACACAACACCCAAUUAAACUGCUCACGCAAGGAACUUGUAUACUCAAUGGAAUACUUACAUAAAUAUUGUUAAUUAUGAGAAACAUGGACUGAAACAUAAUGAAAAGUAUUUUCAAUUUACUAAAGUUGUAAAAUAUUACGUUCUAACUUCAGAGGAAACAUUCUAAACCUGCAGCAAAAAAAUCAAAUCCUCCAUGUUGGGUUUUUGAUAACUAAUGAAUCCCGGGUUUUGAUGUUAACGUGGGUUAAUUAUUUUAUAGGUAUAUGCCGAUGAAUGAAAUAAGUCCAACAACUAAGUCCAUGAGCUCCACCCAGCCUAAUUGUAUUUCCUUUUGAAUGUCUUGAAUCUUAGCCCAUUUAAAUCCCUUAGAGGUCCAACUUAAAGUCUAACCCUAGACUACAUAUAAGGCAAUAACCCUAGCCACUUUCUAGUAUGAUUUGUGUGAUUUUUGUGUGAGAAAAGGAGAAUCCCAGCUGUCUCUUGAAGUGUGUGAAAAACGAACCCUAGAAGUAUUCAAAACGCAAGUUUACUUUGUGUAAUUGGCGGUUCCUUCAUAACCUACCUUUGUGGACUUUUCUCCUAAUCUUUAUGGCCAUAAAUCAUCAUUAUUUCUUGCCCUAUGUGAGUAAGAUUGAAUAACAACCGAGGUGAAUUAUAUUGGUUGUGGAUCAGAGUCGGUUGAUUGGUUGUUGGUAGAGAAAUGUAUAUUGGACUGAGCCCGGAAAACCACCAAUUUGAAGAUCUUUUGAGAGAGCUUUUGCAAUAUUUGUUAUCAAAGCUUUAAGAUGGUGGUUUUGGCUGGUGAAACAUAGCAAAAAAGGUCUAGAAAACUGAUUGAAACAAGGCAGAAAUCAGAUCGAAAAAUUGUCCAAAAAAUUGCCUAAAAAUCAAAUAUGUUCAUGCAAUUUCUUGACAAUCCAGAAGGAGUUUUGGGAAACGAAGACCAUUGGUGUGACGUGCAAGUAGAGGCGGUCCCGGAGGUCUAGAGCGUGGCGUCGACAUGUGAAGCCUACGCACAGAGAAGGUGGCAGCACGUGAGGGCGCGUGUAGCUGUUUCUAGAGGAGGUCUCUUUAGGUAGUUUGUUCCUCACAUUAUUUCUGACAUUUUUGUGUUGUUAGUUUUUUGUUUCAGGUUGUACAGUAAAAUCUGGACACAGUUGUUCUUUGUACGUUUGGGAAACGAUUGUGGUUCGUUGGUUGCUGCAUUUUCAGAGACUUUAGGACGAAUAGUGGUGGUUAUAAAGUAAUAAAUUCGUGUGUCUCAUAAUUUACGGACUCAGAUUAGUCCGGUAUGGUAUAUAUGACUUAUCUUAGUUUAAAUUUUAGCAUUAGCGCGUCAUCAUGUGGGGUGACAUUAGGUUUGUGGUUAUCGUAAAAGGGUAACAUUGCCUGUACUAGAAAUUUAAGAGUUAUUUCCCAUAUUUAAAGUGUUGAGUUUUGAUUGCCAGUUGAUAGUCGAUUUUGUACUUUUACUGCUAUAUAGUCACUGUGUGAGACUGUGUUGCGUGAAAAUUCGUACUUUUGUUUACAUACUUCGUGUUGCGUUGAUUAUCCUAUUAGAACACCUGGACUUGAUCCGUUCGAACAUUCCCUUUAUCUAAGAUCGUGAAUCUCACGAAAUCUUAGAAAUCUAGAAUGAUAUAUAUUGCGGCCGUAAGAUAAUUUUGUGUGACUUAUCUGUGCAUUUGAUUGUUCUAUUUUUCUUAAAAAUGUUUUCACACUUUGAAGUUGGAAUUUUUAAUAGGAAAGGGGAUUUUUCAAUUUGGAAAUAAAAGAUGAAGGGUAUUUUGGUCCAACAAAAUGUUUUAAAAGUCAUAAAUGACAAAUUUCUUGUAAACUUAACAGAAGUACAAAAAAAAGAAUAUGAUGAACUUGCGUACACUUCAAUUAUUUUACAUCUGUCUGACACUGUUUUGAGAAAAGUUGAAAAAUUUAAUUCUACAAAAGAACUUUGAAAAAAGUUGGAGGACUUAUAUUUGCUUAAAUCUACUCCUAAUAAGCUGUACUUGCUUGAACGAUUUUUCAGCUUUAAAAUUGACCCUUUAAAGGAUAUUGACGACAAUCUGGAUGUCUUUAACAAAUUAGUUCAAGACAUCAUCAAUUGUGAUAUAAAGGUCUCUAAAACAUAUAAGGCUAUUAUGUUUCUUAAUUUCAUGCCUGAUUUAUAUAGAGAGGUUGAGAAUGCAAUUAAGUAUGGUAGGGACACCUUAAUACUCAAGAUUGUCAUAGACCCACUUAGGAGUAAAGAGAUGGAGAUCAAGGCUGAAAAAGAGAAUAAGAAGAGUGGUGAGUUACAUAUGAUGAAGAGUAGGAUGAAGUUUAAGCAAAUGAAUUUGGAUAGAACUCAAGACGGUAGUAAUUCAAGUAGUGACACGAGUCAUAAGGGUGGUAAGAAAAAAGGCAAGGAACGAGAUAAGUCGAGUGGUAGACGGUGUUACAGUUGUGGUAAAUUUGGGCACUUUAUUAGGGACUGUCCCAAGAAGAAGGAUAAGCUGAAGGGUAAGAUGAGAGGUGAGACGAAUUUAGCUAUAGGGUCGAGUGAUGAUCAUAGUGAGGUUUAUUAAGAGUAAACCUAAUUACUGCAUAUACAUCUAUGUGUGAUCCUUUCUGCAUGUGUGUUUGCCUAAUUUGUUGCAUGAUAAUAUGCUGCAUUUCAAUGUGUUUGAUAUGUGCAUUUGCAAGAAUUUGAGGCAAUAUGAUUACUUGGUGUAAUUGCUUGCAUGCAUAAUGGGUUAGGAUGCAUCUGCAGUGUGUUUGAUGUCUUUUGGUAAGGUGGUGUAUAGAUGCCUAGAGGUGCAUUGUGAUUUGUAUCGGGGACAUGGAAUGUGACAUUUGGAUCACGAGUAGAGAUGUGAUUAAAUGUAUAGAAUCAUUUAUCUGUAAAGAGACCAUGAUCAGGUGGAGUGUGUGAAAGAGACACUUCUAUCACUUCUGUUAGGUGAAGACCUAUUAUCCACGCAGGUUGGGAGAAGUGAUGUGGAGAUAGUGGAUUAUCCCGUGGACUUAGGAUCUAUUGUGACCUACCAGUUAGACAUGAAUUGAGUGAUCAGUCUAAUGAGCAUAGUGGGCGAUAAAAGGAGAUAUGUGUUCUCGAGGUGUGAGUAACGCGGAAUGGGAUAUGAUAAGUGUGGUGAGAUCUUUUCGUAAGGUCAUUUAAGCAUUUGUUUCAUAUGUGUUGACUGAAAGCCCAAGAAUGACUAACCAAGAAGGGGUGAAUUAAUUAUUUAAAUCUUUUUCAAUAAUAAGUCCUAAUAUAAACAAUUUGCAAAUAAAAUAAAGAGCAAGCAAGAUAACUUUGAAAAAUAACAAGAGAAAGGGAUAGUGAAUGCAAACGAUGUGUUAUGGAGGUUCGAUCCAAUCACGAUCUACGUCCUCUGUUACCAAGUUCUCCAUCACGAGCAAGACCUUUUUCACUAAAUGUGAUUGACUUAUGGUGCAAUCCAACCUUCUACAAAGUUUUCGAUGACUUACAAACAAGGAGUACCGAUCUUCUUACAAAGUUGAGCUUUCCGGGACCUCAACACAACCCACAAUUCAAUCAAAAGUAAACUUUAAAAAAGGAAUCUUCUUUCACAAUAAAGAUAUAUUCAAAGUUGAGUACAAUGGAAAGAAAUAGGCUAAUAAUUUAAUGAAUGGCAAUAAGUAAAGCUCAAGUGUUAGGUUUGAAAAACUUUGAUAAAUGAAAUAAUUUUCAAAAGUAAACUCAAUCAAAAGUUUUCCAAAAGUGAAUGAAUUGAUAGAGAUAAAUAAAGAGCAGAGAGUUAAAGUUUUAAAGUAUCUCAAAUUAAUGCUCUUAGAAGUAAUGAUCAUAAAUGCAAGAGGUUGGGGGUAUUUAUAGCGUCCAAAACGAUAAGGAAAUCUGAAUUUACGGAUGACUCGUUCGGUCGACCGCCUUUUGCCCAGAAGACCAAUAUAGCCGUUUGUACAAUAAAAAUCAGAAGUCAGAACGGCCAAAUUCUGGACCGUUGGAGGGAGUCCGGUUCACCGGCCAUUUUCACUUUUUUGCCUCGUUUGUUCCGAUUUGAAAGUUUUGAAGUGUAUGGACUUUUGGAGAAUAUUUUUAACUAAAUUUUCAUAAUAAAAAUGUCUUUAAAAUUCAUAUAUCAUUUUUAAAAGUCAUUUUUCAUGUUUGAUAAAAAAAAAGGUUGCAUUCGAAUUAUUUUAGUGCACAAAAAUUGUUUUUAAUGCAUAGUAAGAUUUUGAGCUUAAUUAUUCUUUGUCAAAUAUCAAAGCAUUAGUACCUUUACAUUUUGCCUAAGAAAUCAAGUCUUUGCUACGAAGUUUGCCUCAUCUUGGUCUUUCAUUGAUGUCGUCUCUCACGCUUUUAAUCUUGAUCUUUAUUGGCAUCUAUCUCUUAAGCUUUUUGUCUCGAAUAAUUUGACUUGAAUACAUGGCUUCCACUUUGAUCUUCAUUUGAAGUCCGAUAAUACAUGAUUGAUUUGAACAUUGAACUAUCAUAACUAAAAAGAAUUUGUUAGAAAUAAAAAUAAUCUUGUUUGUUAUGAUCAAAACAUUAAGGAUUAAGUCGACCAUAUGCCAACAAUUUCUCCCUUUUUGAUUAUGACAAACAAGAUGAUUUGCAAGAUAAAUUUAACAAUUUAUAUCAAAAGAAUAUACAUUAAAAAAUUUAUCAUGUGAUCUAUUCCCCCUAUCCUUUACAAAUCAUGACCAUAUAUUCAAGGAAUAUAUUUUAUGUUUAAUUUAAAUCAUGCAAAAUUAUCUCACCAUAUUUCCCCCUUUUGGCAUAAGUAAAAAGAUAUAGCAUUUAAGAGGAAUAUAAAAUCAUGCAACAUUCCCCCUUACUUUAACACACAAAGCAUAAAAAUAGUUUAGACGCCAUAAAUAAGCAAAUUUAAAGACAAUAGUAGUUAAUAGUUUAGACCCACAUAAAGAGUACAAUACAAAUGCAUAAAAUUAUAUCUAAGACCCCGGAGGAGGUGGUGGCGGGAAAAGUGCAUCAAACCAAGCAUAAAAUGCAUUUUGCUGAGCUUGCAUGGCUUUCUGCUGAGCAGUGUAAUAAGUAUAGAAAGCAUUUUGCUGAGCCUACAUCAUCGUUUGUUGAGCUUGUAUUGUGUCUUGCUGAACUUGCAAUUGUUGAAGCAUUCUGCCAAGCCCGUCGAUAGAUGAGGUAAGAGAGUCAAGCCGGCCAUUAAGAAGAUUGUAGUGAUCAUCGGUAAAAGUAGAACGGCUCGAAGGUGGAUGAGCACAUGAUCCCGGAAUGUCAUGUGGAGGACUGGGAAUGAGUGGUGUGUCGUCGGCCUGAUCAUCUUCCUUCGCGUCAUCUCCUUUGAAGGGUAAGGUUGAAGGGCCCGAAUCCAGAUCAAACCCCUUAGUACGGGUCACCCAUUGCCCAUGCUCCUUGACAAUUUUCAUUCGUUUAAAAGUAUGAAUGUUGAUAUUGUCAGUGGGACGAAGAGAAACGGAGACUUCGCCAGUUAGAGGAAUUUCAAAAUGUUUAAAGAUCUUAGUGAGUAGCAUGCCAAAUGGUAAGGCCUUUAUGCGAGUGGCAGAAUGGACCAUUUUCAUGUGACCAAUGACAAUAGUUGGAAAGUCUAAUUUCUGUCCGACUAAGAAUGAGUUAAGAAGGAAUAAAUCGAAGUGAGUUACUUCAUCGAGAUGACCUUUCCUAGGUAGAAUAACAUGGGCGAUCAUGUUGUGUAAAACCUUACAAGGUAAAGUUAAUUGAUUUGAACUUAGUUUUAUCGGGUGUUCAAAAUUCUUUCCGGUUACUCUACGGCAUGCAACAAUAGGGUUAUAACAUUCAAAGGUUGGAUGAGCCAUAUGACAAAACACUUGAUUUGAACAAUCUUCUAACUCAAGAAGAAAACAUAGGAGGGCAUGGGUAAUUGUAACUCUUUUACCUUUGAGAAAACAAGAAAUACUACUCGGACGAGGAAUAUAAACCAUGUUUUUGUAAAAUUCUUGCAUAAGUUUAGGAUAAGCAUUUUCUUCCAUGGACGCAAUAGGAAUCCAACCUAUGCUUUCAAAGAACUCUGUUAUAUGGAAUGCAGGUGCUUGAAGUGUAAAUCGUCAAAAUCUACAGUUUUACCUAUAAGAAUGGGAGAUUUAUUAAAGUGAUUUUCUGGCACUUUGGGUUUGUCCUCUGAUGAAGGAGUUGGUAGCCUCUCCCUCCUAGGCUUCUUUCUCGACAUUUUCACUCUAGGCAUGAUGAUUUAAAGGUGGAAAAAAACUUUUAAAACUCAGUCGACCGUUGAAAAGAAAGAAAGAAGAGUUGGAGUUGGAAGGAAAUGGGGAUUUUAAGAGUUUGAAGAAGAAAAAGUGAUGGGUUUUUCAAAUCUUGUGGAAAUUUCAAGAAAAAACUGCAAAUCUAGGUAGAUUUGAUGUACAUCUAAGAGGAAGAAGAAGAGAAGUGAGAAAAAAUGAAGGAGAAAUGAAGAUGAAAGGGUUUUAAAACCCGAAAAUCGCGUCGGACUGGAUUUUUUUUUUUUGGUUCAAAGCUGUGGUUUUCUAGUAGACCUGGUCCAGUCGACCGGAAGUCAUUCGGCCAAAUUUUUUUAUUUUUUUUACCAUGGAAUUAAAAAUCAUGCAAAAAAAAUUAGCGAUAAAAAUUUAAACUUAUAUCACUUCACUUUCGUUAAUAAUUCCUAAACCUCUUCUAAUAUGAGAGAAUCGGUCAUGUGCUUGAGGCUUGAUAAAAAUAUCGGCUAAUUGGUCCUUGUUUUUGAUAAAUUCUAAUUUGAUAUCUCUCUUUUGUACAUGAUCACGAAGAAAGUGGUGACGAAUUUCAAUAUGUUUAGUUCGUGAAUGCAAUACGUGAUUCUUAGAUAAGUUAAUAGUACUAGUGUUGUCACAUAAGAUAGACACAUCAUAAGAUAGGUGAUGGUCAAAAAGGGUUUGUUUCAUCCAAAGUGUUUGUGCACAACAACUUGCGGUUGAAAUGUAUUCUGCCUCAGCGGUGGAUAAUACAACAGAAUUUUGUUUCUUGUUUGACCAAUACACAAGUGCAAAACUUAGAGAGUGGCAAUUUUAGCUAGUGCUUUUGCGAUUAACAUUACAUCCGGUCCAAUCGGCGUCUGAAUAACUAAUUAGAUCAAUGUGAGUACCCUUUGGAUACCAAAGUCCUACGGUUUUAGUUCCACUAAGAUAUCGAAAAAUUCUUUUUACGGCACGUAGAUGUGAUUCCUUAGGAUUAGAUUGAAAUCUAGCACAUAAGCAUACACUAAACAUAAUAUCGGGUCUACUAGCAGUUAAAUAAAGAAGGGAUCCAAUCAUACCUCGAUAUUUUGUGAUAUCAACCGGAGUGCCAUGCUCAUCUUUGUCAAGCUUUAAAGUUGUGCUCAUCAGUGUGUUCAUGUGCUUAAUGUCAUGCAUAUCAAAAAAUUUUGAGCAUUUCUAAGAUGUACUUAUUUUGGUUUAUGAAAAUUCCGUCUUUUGUUUGUUUAAUUUGAAGGUCAGAAAAAAAUUUUAGUUCUCCCAUCAUACUCAUUUCAAAUUCUUUAUUCAUACAAUUUGAAAAUUCUUCACAAAGUCUAAUAUUUGUAGCGCCAAAAAUAAUGUCAUCAACAUAAAUUUGAACAAUAAGUAUAUCCUCCUUAUGAGUUUUUAUGAAAAGUGUAGUAUCCGCUUUUCCAAUAGAAAAAAUAUUUGAAAGUAGAAAUUUGCUUAAACGUUCAUACCAAGCUCUUGGAACAUGUUUCAAGCCGUAGAGAAUUUUUCUAAAUUUAAAAACAUGAUCCGGAUACUUGUAAUUUUUAAAACUGGGAGGUUGCUCAACAAGAACUUCUUCUUGAAUAAAUCCAUUCAAGAAUGCACUUUUCACGUCCAUUUGAUAUAAGUGUAAAACCUUUAAAGCAUGCAAAUGCAGCAAAUGCAAGAAGCAUGCAAAUGAAUUCUAGUCUCGCUGCGGGUGCAAAUGUCUCUUCAAAAUCAAUACCUUCUUCUUGAUUGUAAUCUUGGUCCAUUAAUCUAACUUUGUUACGCACAAUUAUUCCAUUUUGAUCUCUUUUGUUUCGAAAGACCCAUUUGGUACCAAUAAUGGUUUGAUGAUUUUGUCUAGCGACUAAUUCCCAAACACGAUUUCUUUCAAAUUGAUUUAAUUCUUCUUGCAUCACUAUAAUCCAAAACUCAUCGAACUCGACUUCUUUAAAAUUUUUGGGUUCGAUUUGAAAACUAAAUAGACAACUAUCAAAAUGAUUUAGUUCUAGUACCACCUUUCGACGGAUCACCAAUAAUAAGCUCCUUAGGAUGGGAUGUAACAAAUCUCCAUUCCUUUGGUAACGAGGGAUUAUUAUGUUUUUCGAUUUGUGUUUCCUCAUUUUCUUGAGCAUUUGAUUUCUCCUUUUCUUCAUUUGGUGCCUCCUUAUUUUGAUCUUGAAUUUUCAUUUGUUCAAAAGGAGCUUCCAAUCCUACAUCAUCAUCACUACCUUUCUCUCGAUCAAAAGAGUUAGUCUAAUCAAAAGUAACAUGCAUAGAUUCUUCAACGACUAGAGUUCGUUUGUUAAAAACUUUAUAAGCUUUGCUAGUUGAUGAAUAUCUUAGGAAAAUUUCAACAUCGGAUUUGGAGUCGAAUUUUUCCAAAUUGUCUUUUGUAUUUAAUAUAAAAUAUUUACAUCCAAAAACUUUGAAAUAACUAAUAUUUGGAAUUCUAUUUUUCCAAAGUUCAUAAGGUAUUUUAGUUUUCUUUUUGCUCACUAAAAUCUAUUGAUGACGUAGCAAGCGGCAUUAACGGCCUUGACCCAAAAGUAUUUAGGAAAAUAAUUUUCAUUUAACAUGGUCCGAGCCAUUUCUUGCAAUGUGCGAUUCUUCCUUUCUACUGCACCGUUUUGUUGAGGUGUUCUAGGAGCCGAAAAAUUAUGUUCAUAUCCAUGUUUUUUACAAAAAUCAUCAAAACCAACAUUAUCAAAUUCUCCACCAUGGUCACUUCUAAUUGUUGUAAUAGAAUAACAUUUUUCAUUUUCAACUUUUUUACAAAGAUGUUUAAAAACUUUCAAGGCUUCUUCUUUUAAGCUUAAAAAUAUGACCCAAGUAAAUUUUAAAAAAUCGUCGACUAUAACAAAGGCAUAAUGUUUACCACCUAAGCUAGCCAUCUUAGAAGGUCCAAAAAGAUUUAUGUGCAGAAGUUGUAAAAGUUUUGUAGUUGAAGCAUAAAGUUUAGGUUUAAAAGGAUUUUUACUUGUUUUCCAAAUUGACAAGCAUCACAAAUUUUAUCUUUUUCAUAUUUUAAAUUUGGCAAACCUUUUACAAAAUAAUUUUUAGAAAUUCUUGAAAGAAGAUCCAUACUUGCAUGCCCAAGUCUUCUAUACUAUAGCCAUGAUUCUUCUUUCAAACUAAGUAAACAAUUUUCAUUAUUUUCAAAUACAAUGUUUAUAAUAUAAACAUCUUUACUUCGAUUUCCUAUGAAAAUCACCUCUUUCGAUGUAGCGUCCUUAAUAAGGCAUUUUGAAGAAUUGAAUUUUAUGUUAUAAUAUUUAUCACAUAAUUGACUAAUACUUAGUAAAUCAUGUUUGGGGUUAUCAACAAGUAGAACAUUUCCAAUUGAGGGGGUUGAGUGAUUACCAAUGUUUCCAAUACCAAUAAUUUUACCUUUGGCGUUGUCCCCGAAGGUUACACGUCCUCCAUUCUUUUCUUUGAAAUUUGAUAGCAAGGAUCGAUCUUCGGUCAUACACUAUGAACAACCACUAUCUAAGAACCAUUUGCUUUUAGUUUUCUUCGGUUCCUACAAGAAAAUUUUAAGUUUUGAUUUUUGGUACCCAUACAAACUUGGGUCCUUGAUAGUUAACUUUAGUAAAUUCUCAAAUCCACUUAUGCUUGUUUUCAAAAAAUAGCUCCUUUUUAGCUACACAAUUAAAGGCUACAUGUCCACUCUUAUUAUAAAAACUACAUGUAGUGUUAGAAGCUUUAACAAACAUAUUUUUGAGGGAUUUUUGUUUUAAGGAGGGUUUAUAUCCUAUUCUCCCUUAUCAAAAAUGCAUUUUUGACUUCCGAUCAUUAAAUCAAAAUUUUUCUUCCCCUUGGUGAAUUUAUGAAUGAUUUUUGUUAAUUCAUCCACUUUCUCUCUCAAAGCAACGUUCUCUUUUACUAUAAAAUCAUGAUCAACAUUUUCUUGUUGCUUUUUCAAAAUUUUCUUUAUUUCUUCUUUCAACAAAGAAUUUUUCUUUUUAAUGGUGGCAUGACUUAAGGCAAGUUUUUCAAAUUUCUCAAGUAUUUCAUCUAAACGUACCUUGUCUUCGAUUGCCAUGAAGCACAUAUUUGUCACUUCGUUUUGACUAUCAUUUUCACUUUGUUCUUCAUCGUCGCCAUCAUCCUAUGUCGCUUGGAGUGUCUUUUUCUUGAAAUUUUUCUUUUUAUUUGGGCAUUCAGUUCUCUUGUGGCCGGGUUUAUCACAAUCAUAACAAAUAAUCUUUUUGCUUCUUUCUUCCCAUUUUUCUUCUUUCUUUUGAAAUUUUCGAUUAUUGCGAAAGCCCCUUCAUUUCUUGACCAGAAGAAUCAAAUCAUCAAGCACUUCAUCGCUUAUGUCUUCUUUUGAUGUUCCUUCUUCAAUUGUCAAUUUUAGUGCAAUUUGUCGUUAGGGAGGCUCCUUUGAUUCCUCCUUACUUUUUCUUGUUUUCUCCUUAACUUCGUCAUUAUUUAGCUCAUAGGUCAUUAAUGUGUCAUAAAGCUCCUCCAAAGAACAUGCAUUUAUAUACUUGGUAUUUUCGAUCAACAUUCUUAUCGGGCUCCACUCCUCCGACAAGGACCUAAGCAUUUUACUUACAAGUUCAUCAUUGUAAAUUUACGAUCAUAACCUUUAAGACCAUUUACAAUAUCGGCAAAACGUGUAAUCAUAUCAACAAUGGGUUCAUCUUGCUUCAUAAAGAAAUUUUCAAAUUCUUUAACCAACAAAUUUAUUUUUGUUUCUUUAACCUUGCUUGUGCCAACAUGAGUGACUUCAAGAGCAUGCCAAAUAUCAUAUGUCAAUUCACAUGUGCUUAUCCUAUUAAAUUCAUUUCUAUCAAGUGCACAAUAAGGCAAAUUUUUAGCCUUGGCAUUUAGGAACAAUUUUCUCUUAUCUUCUUCAUCAUAUUCUUCCCUAGUUUUAGAAAUAGUUUGAUCCGGUCUACCAUCUUUUUUAAUAGUUUUAGUAGGAACAUAUGGACCAAAUUUGAUAACUUCCCAAAUAUUAUAAUCAAUGGAUUGCACAUAUAUCAUCAUUUUAGCUUUCCAAUAAUUGUAGUGUGUGCCAUCAAAGAAGGGGGGUCUAUUAGUGGAGUGUCCCUCUAGAGUUUGAAACACUUGGUUAGCCAUUACUCAAGAUUGUAAAAUCUUUUAAAAGUGAGUACUUUGCUCUGAUACCAAUUGAAAGCCCAAAAAUGACUAACCAAUAGGGGGGUCAAUUGGUUAUUUAAAUCUUUUUCAAUAAUAAGUGCUAAUAUAAACAAUUUGUAAAUAAAAUAAAUAGCAAACAAGAUAACUUUGAAAAAUAACGAGAAAAAGGGAUAGAGAAUGCAAACGAUGUGUUAUGGAGGUUCCAAUCACGAUCUACGUCCCCCAUUACCAAGUUCUCCUUCACGAGCAAGGCCUUUUUUACUAAAUGUGAUUGACUUAUGGUGCAAUCCAACCUUCUACAAAGCUUUUAGUGAAUUACAAAUAAGGAGCACCGAUCCUCCUACAACAUUGAGCUUUCCGGGACCUCAACACGACCCACAAUUCAAUCAAAAGUAAACUUUACAAAAAGGAAUCUUCUUUCACAAUAAAUAUAUAUUCAAAGUUGAAUACAAUGGAAAGAAGUAGGCUAACACUUUAAUGAAUGGCAAUAAGUAAAGCUCAAGUGUUAGGUUUGAAAAACUUUGAUAAAUGAAAUCAUUUUCAAAAGUAAACUCAACCAAACGUUUUUCAAAAGUGAAUGAAUUGAAAGAGAUAAAUAAAGAGCAAAGAGUUAAAGUUUGAAAGUAUCUCAAAUUAAUGCUCUUAGAAGUGAUGAUCAUAAAUGCAAGAGAUUGGGGUAUUUAUAGAGUCCAAAAUGUUAAAAAAAAUCUGAAUUUGAGGAUGACUCGUCCGGUCGACCACCUCUUGUCCGGAAAAAAAAGGUUGCAUUCGAAUUAUUUUAGUACACAAAAAUUGUUUUUAAUGCAUAUCAAGAUUUUGAGCUUAAUUAGUCUUUGUCAAAUAUCAAAGCAUUAGUACAUUUACAUUUUGCUUAAGAAAUCAAGUCUUUGCUGCGAAGUUUGCUUUGUCUUGAUCUUUAUUGAUGUCGUCUAUCACGCUCUUGAUCUUGAUCUUUCUUGACAUUUAUCUCUUCAACUUUUUGUCUCGAAUAAUUUGACUUGAAUACAUGGCUUCCACUUUGAUCUUCAUUUGAAGUCCGAUAAUACAUGAUUGAUUUGAAUAUUGAACUAUCAUCACUAAAAAGAAUUUGUUAGAAAUAAAAAUAAUCUUGUUUGUUAUGAUCAAAGCAUUGAUGAUUAAGUCGACAAUAUGCCAACAUUGACCGUGUGUUUGACAUUAACCGUGAGUUUGAUUAACUUGGUGUUAAUUUGUGGUUCUAUGUGAACGUAUUUUUGAAAAGAUCUAUGUGUGUUAUCCUAUAAUAUAUGUCAUCGUCUAUGUAUUUGCUCUUAAUUGUUUACUGUUUAAUAUUUGCUUCUACUUGAGUGUUCGUGACCAUAGCCCCGAUGAGUACAUGGAGCAAGUUGGGUUUUUGAUACCCAAUUAAUCCCGGGUUAUGAUGUUAACGUGGGUUAAUUAUUUCAUAGGCGUAGGCUGAUGAGCAAAAUAAGUUUAACAACCAAGUCCAUAAGCUCUAUCCGGCUCAACUGUAUUCCCUCUUGGAUGACUUGAAUCUUGGCCCGCCUAAGUCCCUUAGAGGUCCAACUUAAAGCCUAACCCUAAAUUACAUAUAAGGUAAUAACUCUAGCCACUUUCUAGUAUGAUUUGUGUGGUUUUUGUGUGACAAAACGAGAAUCCUGGCUGCCCUUUGAAGUGUGUGAAAAACGGCCCUUAGAAGUGUCCAAAACGCUUAUUUACUUUGUGUAAUUGGUGGUUCCUUUAUAGACUACCUUUUGUGGUGUUUCUCAUAGUCUUUGUUGCCACAAAUGAUCUGUUUCUUGUCCUAUGUAGGUAAGAUUGAAUAACAAUCGAGGUGAAUUAUAUUGGUUGUGGAUCGGAGCCGGUUAGAUUGGUUAUUGGUAGAGAAAGGUACGAUAGACUGAGCCCCAAAAACCAUCGAUUUAAAGAUCUUUUAAGAAAGUUUCCGCAACACUCCAAGCGCCAAAUUCAACCAAAUCGAAAUAAUAAUAAGAAAUGUUGCACAAAUCAAGCUUAAAUAAGAUCAAUGAUUGCUUCAACUACAUUUUCUUCAAAAAUCUAAAAAUAAUUAAUCUAAAUCUAUAGGUUUGUAUGUUUCCAGUGGUGGACGUAGAUAUUUUGAAUUGGUGGAGUACAAAUAAACUUGCAAAGAUUACAAAUUUAUGUUUAUCUCAAACAUCACCAAGUUUGUCAUCUUUUUUUAUCUCCAACAUUAUUUUCAUCACUUUUAUCUCGAAUAAUAUUUUCAUUAACAUUGUGAUCAUCAAAAGAAAAAGUGUAUUUACGUUUAAAUUUUUUUCAUCACAAUUAAUGAAAACAAUCAAUUCAAGUGAAAAAUACAAAAAUUAUAGCGAAUUUUGAAUGUUACAUUAUCAGCUACAUUUCAGUUCAAACAAAGACAAAAAUCAUAGUAAGGAUUCAUUAACAUAAAAUCGUCAAAACAAGAUAGAAUUUGGAGCAUUUAAGGGAAUUCCCAAUUCCAUUUCAUAACAAAAUACAAAAGAAAUUAUCAAAAAGAAAUAAUUUCCUAAAGCUUCAAAUUUGAUUUCUAAGGAAACAAUAAAUAAAAAUAAAAAAUCAAUUUUAAGUUGGUGGUUUAAGUGACCCACCACGACCCACUGUGUGUUCGCCAGUGUAUUUUUUGACUUUGAUUUAAUUAGUUGAUAAUUUGUUUGAUUUUGAUAUUAUCGAGGACCUUUUUGUUUUAAUACAUGUAAAAUUACAAUCCAAAUCGACAUGUUUGCAUGUUUUUUACUUUCAAUUUAAUUAAUUGAUAUUUUGUUUAUCUUAGUAUUAUUGAGGACUUUUUUUCUUUUUUUUUUAAUACAUGUAAAAUUACAUUUUUAAAUUAAUAAUUUUGAUUUAGCAUAUUUGAAAAUUUAAAUUUGUGUGGAUUGGAUUGAGUUAGUGUAUGAAAAUUCCAUUUUGGAGCAAUUCAAAUAAUGCAUGCAAGAAGCUUGUGAAAAUGAGUAUAAGAAAACUAACAUUCUCAUUUUUAUUUUUUUAAAAGCACAGUCCAUCUCAUUUGAGUUCUUUGUAUUAACUAAAUAGAUGCAUACAUGAGUGUUUGUGAAAAUUUAAACAUGAAGAGGAAUUUAAACAUUGUUUUACGUUAAAAAGUUACAUGAUAUAACAUUUACUUGUAUUUCGAAUAUAAAUUAAGAUGCUAAAACUUGAGAGAGGUAUUCUUUGUCGCUGUUUUCUAAGAAAGUUGUAGUCUAUCUCAUUUGAAUUCUUUAGGAUCAAUUAAAGAGGUGCAUACACGUGUGUUUAAGAAAAUUUAAAUAUGAAUUCAUAUUUUGCUUUAUAUUAUAAAAGUGAUAUGAUCUAACAUUUUACUUUUAUUUUUCAUAAGAAUUAAUAUGGUAGAAUUUAAAGUGACAUACUCUGUCACUUUUUUUUUUUUUAAACGUUUCGUACUAUUUCAAUUAUAUUCUUUUUGUAGAUAUGAAUAAAAUUAACGUAUUCAUCUGCUAUAGAGGUAAAUGAGAACAAGAUAACCAAUAUAAAAGUGACAAAAUAAUUAAAAUUAUUGUCCUAAUAGAAUGUACAUGCAACAAUCUUUAAUAAAACGUAAGUCCCUUUUUUGUGAAAAAUAGUGACUUAUCGUGUUUUUUUUUUUUUUUUUUUUCAAGAAACAAAAUUUUGACAUUGUUAAAAAGAGACUAAGUUGUCAUUGAUAUGCAAUUCCAAUUAUAAAAUAACUCGUGCAUUUACACACAAGCUAAAUUUGUUGUUAAAUUUAGGGAAAAUUGCAGUCGAGGUAUCAAACCUUUCGUUUAUUAGCAGAUUUCGUCCAAACCUUUAGUUUGUACCACCCACAGUCUCAAACCUUUCAAAAAUAUGUACCUGGGGUCCAAAUGGACGGUGUCCAUCCGUUUGACCGUUAGUUGACCAAGGAAGGUGGAUUUUGACUAAUUUUGACCAAAUUAAAAUGGGUAAAAUGGUAAAUUUGCUAUUAUAUACAUAAAAUAAUUUAAAAAACUAGAAAUAAAAAUAAAACAAAAUAAAAUAAAAAAGAGAGAAGAAAUAAAAAAUAAAAAAUUAUCUUCUUCCUCAUCCCACCCCGACACCCCCACCCAUCCAACCUAAACUAACCUACAGAAGAUGGAAUCGUCUCUUUCUCAACAACAUCAUCAACCCACAUACUUCUUAUAUACCACACACCCCACUCCCCACUUUAAACCAUAACAAUACAUUCUCUCUAAUUUUCUUUCCAAUUCUGUCAGUCAGAGAAAAUUGGAAUUUUUUGUAACCUUCAAAUCUGAUAAUAUUUGUAAUAAUACUCACAAACGAGAAGUAUGGUUGAAAAUCUUGAAUCGGAGUUUCAAUUGAUUUUAAAUCUUAUCAAUAAAUACACUUUAUUUCAAAUCUUGAAUCGGAGUUCAAAUUGGAAUUUUCUGCAACCAUGAAAUCUGGCAAUAUUUUAUUUUGUUUUAUUUUAUUUCUAGUUUUUGGUCGUGGUUGCUCACUGUUACAUAAUAUGGAAUGGGGUUUUUGGUGUAGGUUUGAUGGUUGUGGUGGUAGUUGAUUCUGUGGCUGUGGCUGGUCGACGGGAGUUAGUGUCGUCGUUGCUGGUUUUGGGCAACGGAUUUGGGUAGUGGUUUUGGGAGGGGUGGGGUGGGGUGAGGUGGGUGGGGUUCAAUCUUCUGUAGGUUAGUUUAGGUUGGGCGGGGGUUGGGGGUGAGAUGAGGAAGAAGAUGAUUUUUUUAAGGUGGUCAAAUUUACCUUUCUAUUCUUUUAAGUUGGUCAAAAAUUGGUCAAAAUUNNNNNNNNNNNNNNNNNNNNNNNNNNNNNNNNNNNNNNNNNNNNNNNNNNNNNNNNNNNNNNNNNNNNNNNNNNNNNNNNNNNNNNNNNNNNNNNNNNNNNNNNNNNNNNNNNNNNNNNNNNNNNNNNNNNNNNNNNNNNNNNNNNNNNNNNNNNNNNNNNNNNNNNNNNNNNNNNNNNNNNNNGGCGAAUUUGGGGAGGGGGGGGUUCAAUCUUCUGUAGGUUAGUUUAGGUUGGGCGGGGGUUGGGGGUGAGAUGAGGAAGAAGAUGAUUUUUUUAAGGUGGUCAAAUUUACCUUUCUAUUCUUUUAAGUUGGUCAAAAAUUGGUCAAAAUUUAAUUUUAUUGGUCAACUAACGAUCAAACGGAUGGAAACCGUCCAUUUGGACCCCAUGUGCAUAUUUUUGAAAGGUUUGGGACUGUGGUUGGCAUAAACUAAAGGUUUGGGCAAAAUCUGCUAAUAAACGAAAGGUUUGGUACCUCGACUGCAAUUUUCCCUUAAAUUUAUGAAAUUCAAAGUGUUAAGGUAUAUCAUUGCUAAAAAGUAUCAAAUGGUUUUUUUUCAUAAAAAAGUGACAUAUCAUAUCCCUUUAAACCUAUAUUUAUGUGGUAUGACUAAUUCUCAAUUUUGUAAAAAGAGAGGACUAUUAAACGAAAAUGACAAAAAUAAAAAUCAAAAAUUAAAAGGUGACAAAUAUUCAAAAAAGUGAUAAAAACUCAAAAAAUUGAUAAAAUCUAAAGAAAGUGACAAAUUCAAUUUUUGGACUUUUGGGCAUAAUUAAUACGAGAAUUUGCAGUUCUAAUUAGUUUUAAAGAUAUUAAUCUAAUAAAACAUUUUUUAGGGUAAUGGGCCUAAUUUCUCCUUAAAAAAUUGCAAAAAACACAAUAUUCUAACUUGUGGUCAUUAUAGCGGUUCCUUCUGCUCCUAGAAAACGUCCGAAAAAACUUGCUACAAACUACCCAGCAGGUGCAUUAAAAAUAUCACUAGAAUAUAUACAAAGUAAACAUAUUCGUUGAGUACAAAUAUUUUAUUAUUUGAAAUAUUAGAAUUUAUGCUACUUCUCUUAAUAAUGAUGACCUCUUUAGAUGUAACCUCAAUACCCAAUAAUCAAAAUGUCGCAAGAGAACUUACAUCUAUGGUGAACAAUAAAUAGCAUAAAAAUUAUUAUGUCAUUCUAAUGAGACUUUUGCGCUCUCUUCUUCAAACAAAUGGGGGCAACUUCUUUACAAAAAACAUUAAGGAUUUUCAAAUUUUACUUUCUUAAGAUUUUGCUUCAUGGGUCUGUCUAUUAAGUUCUGUCAGACCUUUGGAAUAACUAACUUUAUUAUUAAGUAAAAAAUGAAUUAAAUUUCAACUUAGAGGCAUUGAGUUUUUGUAUUCAAAUAUCACAACUGUCAAAAUAUCUAGUUUAAUUAACAUUGUCUUAGUCGCUCUAUUCUUAAUAUAGGUCUAUAAGUCACAUUAUCAACAACGUUCAUUUUUCGAUUUAUUCUAUUUCUUGGAGGGACGACUUUAUUAAGAUCUUUUUAUUUUUAAUAAUUCCAAGUACAUGAACCUCUUUUAAGAUGUACAUGAAUCUUUUAUAGAGUUAUAUGAUCACUCAAUUCUUUCAAUCAUUUGAAGAGCACUAUCACUGUAAUUUAAAUAUCUCUAGUACUCAGUUUCUUUUAAUGUUUGGAAUUUUUAUCUAUGAAACCUAUUUGUUAGCUAUAAAAUUGUAACAACUCAAGCGAAAGGAUGUAGACUUCAUUACAAUCAAUAAAGCUGUUCAAAAUGAAAUGUUAGGAAAAGUAAAGACUUACAACAUUCUCCAUGACAGAACAAUGGGAAAUUAAGUUUUAUUUAAAAUAAUGAGAAUGUCUUUUCUAGAAAAAUGUGACAGACAUAAUGAAAGAUAAUAUUUAAAUGAAGAAUAAAGCUGUUUUGCCCGAAAUUUUGACAGCAUGGUUGACCGAACCUCACAUUGCGCAUGGGUCCCGCGUGAAUUAAAAAUGUCGACCCCCAUAUGUAUGUUCGGUCAUUCCUUAUAUUUGUGUAGCAAAACUCUUAAAUGAAUAUGCAUAGCAAAAUGAGUAUUUAUUUGAAAUUAGUAACGCAGUAUCAAAAUCACACAAUAGACCUGAGUUUAAGCCUUGCUGUGACACCACUCAUUUACGAGAAGUGCUAGUACGGUUAAACUUUGAUUAAAAAAAAUAAUAAUAAAUAAAUAAAAUAAAAUAAAAUAAAAUUGAACAAUGUCUACGUGUGAAGAGAUACAUUUUAUAUGAUUUAAGCCAUUGUUUGAUAUAAAUUAAAAUAUAAAUUUUUAUCAAAAUAAAAAACAACAUUUAAUUUUGACCACAUAUUUUAUGAGAUUCAUAACUUUUUAAACACACAUUUUAUCAACUUCUAAUAAAAUCUCUUUAAAAAUUUGAUUUUAAUCCCAUCAAACAGAUGCUAAAUAAAUAAACUUCUUCUCUAACUACUUAAACAUUUAGAUUGACAUUACAUAUGAGAGAGAAAGAGCAUAACAAUGGAAAAUGAUGCACCCCACUUUUGAACCCACCAGUGCUCUCUCUGGUGAACUUCAAUAUGCAUCUCCUUUUGCUACACUUGUGCAUUCAAGAUGAAUUACGUUAUUUGUACAAAUUAGGUUGACAAAUUUGAUUAAGAAUAAUGCUUGUAGUACAUCGAGGUGUCCAACGGAUGUCCAAAAUGGACACCAGGCACCUCGGCCAAUGCUAAGGAGAAAUGGACACCCCGUUGGAUACCGCAAUGUACCAAUAGCAUAAUUGGUUCAACAAUUGGUUGUUCUUUUUGUGGGCACCUGAUCUCAUUAUUUCAAUUAGUUGAUUCGACAUUUUGUGAGAAGUGACGACAAGUGGAGGGUGGAAAGUUAUUGAUUUGACCAUUUGAGUGAUUCAGCACAUAUCUGCUUUUUGGUUUCUCAGUUAAUAGUUGCUGGUUUGGUUGGUGGCAUCAUGUUUAUAGUAUUUUUUGGUAUUGGGUGUUGUUAUUUGUCGUUUCCCACUUGGGUUUAUGCAGUUGAUUAAUCUAGCUGAACAAACUUUGUUGACAGAAUUAGUUUACAAUUCAAGUGUUGGUCACUGAUUUCUAUUGAUUUCAAAUACUAUUUUUGAAAUAAUUGAUUUAGAUAUUAUCAACACAUAAUUUAUAAGAACCUGACUAUCUGUACACUUUCGUUGAUAAUAUAGAAUGAAACCUUUUUUUUUUUUUUUUUUUUUAAAUUCCCACAAUUCCACGGCAGCAAGAGAAAUUUCAUAGUCAUCCUUUCGGUCAAAAAAGGUGUACAAAUAACUUAAUUCCCAAUUGUAUUUCAAGAUCUAGAAUUGGCAGAUGCUCAUUCAAUUCCCGUUUUGUAACAAUUUUUCAUCCCAAAAAAUCAAUUUUUAACUGUUAUUUCACUAUUUUAACCAUCCUUUUUUACUUCUUCUUCACAAAUGGGACCGACUUUUCUCUCUAACGGGCAAAAAUUCAAUUCUUAUAAUUACUUCCAAACAUGCUCAAUAAUUUAUUGCCAGUAUAGCGAGUAUAGAUUUAGAGCGCAAAUGUUCACCAGAGGCAUCAACUAACAAUAAUUAACCUCAGAAUUGACUAAAGAAGUAUAAUAUAUACUCAAUCUAACCAAGAAAGUGUAAUUAUCAAACAAGUUUACUUUUGAAACAUCAUCCUCUUACAGCAUGGUGUCAUGUAUCUGGAUAUCAGAAAACAAAAACAUUUGUAAAAUUCAAUUUUUUUAUAAAAUCUAAGAUAAACACUCUGGCUCACUCUAUCAAUUCAGUACAAUCAAAUUUAGUACAGCUGCUGCAAUAUUGACAGACGUAGACAACAAAUGAGUUGCUGAAAAGGGGGAAGAGCCUUCAUAUGAUGAAUUGCCUGUCAACACAUUGUUACCCUAAAACUGUCGCAUUAGAUACUUCACCAUAUGCAACUGUUUCAAAUAAUUUACAUGAUCAUGGCCACCAGGUAAUAAUGGGUAUCACCCCUAUUGCUGCUUUUUGGACUGAUAAGAGUUUUGAGUCAUUUAAAUUAGUUGUGCUUUUUUCAGGUCGGACAGAGCUCCUCUAUCUUCACUGCCCCUCUCGUUGUACAGAACCUUCGGAUCAUUGGGAAAAUAAUUGUAAGUUACAUGAUGAGCUCAAAGCCAAAUUAAUGUAAACCAUUCUCAAUAGAGGUACCUUGUCAAUGAUCCCAUACUCAACUGCCUCGCUUGGACUAAAAUAUUUUGGACGCCUUAUGUCUUCUUCAAUCUGCUCAGGCGAUUUUCCUAUAUGCUUCGAGUAGAGUUUAACCUUUGCAAAUCAAAACAUGAAAUGUCCAUAAGCAUAGGUUCAGCUGUGCGUCAAGGAUGUACAUUACCAUUUUCCCAUGCAACUUCCAGUGUGAAUGAGUUUGUCAGGGCAAUAUUAUGAUGACUAUUCACAUGCAAGCGUAUACAGUUGGAUUCAAAAGCAUACAACGAUAAUACAAAACAUGCCCGAUUUCUGAAUCUAGAAAACAUGGAACUAAGAGGAGUGGAAACAAUGGCCUAAAUGAUUGUUCACUUUACCAACUCAGCCUUCACAUUUUUAACUUCUUUCCUCAUAAGUUCAACAUCCGAUGCUUGACCUUGAAAUCUUGCAAUUGGCUGCAAGAUUACACAGGCAAUAGGUAUUAAUAUUAAAACAAAACAAAGCAAUAUAACAAAAAGUCUAAUGUUAAUAUCAUGAUAUUUGUGCAACACUAGUUCCUAGAAACAGUAACUUCUAUUUUGAGAGAAUAAGUGUGCCUUGUAGGGGUGUGGAUUGUUUGGAAUUAAAGGCAGAUUACUGAAUAUCAAGAACUUAACAUGAGAGAAAAACAUGCAGUAUAGAUAACAAGGACCUGCUUAAUCAUGAUUGUUGACGAUGGCAAGGCAGAACGGUUGCCCUUUGCGCCAGCAGCCAAAAGCAAGGCUGCUUCUCCCCAAGCAUUUCCAACACACAGCGUGAAAAUAGGUGGCUUGACAUAUCUUCAUGCCAGUUCUCGUUAGUUACAAUGAAUAAAACGAAAGUGAAUUCACACACUACAAUGGUAUGAAGCACACAAUCAGCAAAUCCAAAAUGUCUAUAUUUCCAUCAUAGUCUUUAAAAUAAUUUUAACUGCAUUGGAAAAAAAUAGAGUUCACACGAAUUUGUCAAAUGCCAUGAUUGUAGAAUCUAGUAAGUUGGAGAUUUAGCUCAAUCAAAAAAGUGACCUUGAUAACUCAUAGCAAGUAGAGGACACAAUCUACCCUCGACUUGCUCGAUUUCAGAAAUAAUAGUUAGUGCACAAAAUUUCGGCUUUCACAAAAUUAAAACAUCCAUUUUGAUAUUGAUAUCUUAUGGUUUUGGCUAGAGUUUCAAAGUAGCUACACAAAGUACUAUCUUGCAGCCCUGUCAAGCAUUAAACAAAAAUAAGGUACAACUUUAAUAGCAUUCUGAUGUAUGGCAUAAAGAUUUAUAACCUCAUAACAUCAUAAAUUGCAAAAGCCUCCGUCUCAUAGCCCAAUUUUUCCCCACCCUGCAAAAUUGUGAAAAUUAAAUAAAACUUUGAACAAGUCCACUUUAAAUAUGUUGAUCAUUUUAUUUUUUAUUUUUUGCAGAAGCUUCACAUUAAAAGCUCAUAGGAACGAUGAUUCGUGAAUUUUGAGACUACACGUUUCUUAGUGCAAUGCCCAGUUUUGUGGGUGGGGGGGGGGGGGGGGGGGCUUUAGAGCUUUACAAGCCAAAUUUAACUGCAUUUUCUGAACAAAAAAUAGAAAGUAAAAAAGUAGUAUUUUUAAUAGUUGAAAUGGACCAAAUGGUUAUACUCUUAACAGCAAAUUAUUCCAAAGCUCUGCCAUCUAACCUAUGUCUGCAUCAAUAACAUGGACAUCUGGCAGACGAUGUUUCAAUGCAGAAAUUAAUAACGGAGGGGAAAUUAACCCAAAACAUGAACUAUGCUGAAUCCCAAACAAAAUUCAAGUUUAGUAUAUUAACUUCAAAUGCAUGCCAAAAAUGGAUUGGGUUUUGAGGAAACAUCCCCACUUUGAACCUCAAACCUAGAAGGUUACAUGGAAAUCAAAUACACGAAGCAAACAAGUACGAUGCAUAGUAUUUAUAACUGAUGCUUAGAUGACAUAUAGUGGCAUAGCCAGCACCCGACGAGGUAGCGUGGCUGCCCGCGCUAGCUCCACCGGAAUUUACAAGUAUGGCCACGUAGUUGAAGAUUUCAGAACUUGCUGCCAUGGUCGUGAAGACAGUGAACUGGGAAAGAAAGAAGAAUGGGGAAGAUGAUCGUUGGGCUUUUUUUCACUUAGGCCUUUUUUAGUUGGGCCUUUCCUAAAUAAAAACUAUGGCCCAUUAUUCAUUACCCAAUUCCUAUAGUCAUUUACGACAUUUCUCAAUUCACAACCACUGACCACAACUUCAAAAAGCUAAAUGCCCAAUUCCAAACCUGAUGUUCUACUGUUGUUCCCAGUGUUGCCAAAAGUCUGAAGGUAAUAAUCUACUUUUAAAUUGUUUGUGACUUCAAAGGAUUUUGUGUAAUUUGGGUUGAUUUCAUUAUUUGGUUAUUUCUGUGAAGGUAGAAAAAAUUACUUGAAUUGAUUAUACCAAUUAUGAAUGCACAAAAUGGUGUAUGAGAUCCAAGCUAAAUUUGAUAGAUGGACUUCAGAGGUUUAUAUGAUAUGUUCAAAUAGGUAAAGCAAAAAUAUGCGAAGAAAAUAAUUUCGAAUGGAAACAAUUGAAUAUCUUAAGCUUUGUUUUAUGUUGAUGUCUAUUGUGAUAGCUAAUUGUCAUGUGAAUUAGACUCUGUUGGUUGGAACUUGGCUGUUAUUGGAAUUAGUGACUUGAUGGAAUAAUCAGAAAUGGUCACAACUAAAAAUAGAAGCUUUUGGCAUGAAUUGUUACUCAAUGUUUAUGUUAUAUUCCUUGACAAUGUGAAGGCAUAUAUGUUCUACUCUGCAUUGGCUGAAAAGUUCAUUUAUGUUGCACCUUUUGUAGGUGAGGAGAGCACGCUGCAAAAUAUGUUUUUGAGCACGCUUAUUUGAACAGCAGAAAGAAGUGUCAACUGUGAGCAAAGCCAAUAUCAUGAAGCUCGCCGAUGGUUUAUUUUUAGAAUCUUGUCUAGAGGUUGCCAUAAAAUAUCCUUGGAUGAAGUACAAUGAGAUAUCAUGGAUAACCGUUACAGGCAACUGGUUUCCAAGCCCAAGUAAUUUGAUGUCAUGGUUGGUGCUUGGAUUUCUCUUAGUUUUUUCUUGUGCUCUCUUAGACUUUUCUUAAAAUGUUGCCAUGCGUACAAAUGUCAGACAGCUUAAUGUCAAUCCGCAGAAGAACAUUUACCAUGAUUGUUGUUUUAGUGUAUUUACAUAUAGAUUGAAGAAUUUUAAAUAUUAUUUAAUUAAAUAUUAACAAACGACAUAGCUAUUACGGUCGUUGACUAUCAACGGUCAAUGAUCAACGUUUAAUGGCCGCCCUAGCUGACUUCCAAUCGUAGAUCCCCCACUGAUGACAUGGGUAAUACAUAGAUUUAGAAAAAGAAAGAGAACUACCAGCCAAUUUGCCAUUACUAAAUUGAAACUAGCAAUAUUGAUAUGGUAAACAUUGAUCAUAUUUAUGUAUCUAUGCUUAUGAUUUCUUUCAACUGAACAGAAGAAAAUAUAUUCUGAGGCUGUAUAGCAUCAGUUUUACAAUCAUUGCAUGGGGAAUGGAAGAAAAGCUGUACCAGUUCAGGCGUAAUGUUAUUCUUAGUUACAAAUCCUUACUCUGGAAGGGGGGGGUGGGGUGGGGGGAGGGCGAGAGAGAAAUAAAUUGGUUUCUACUCUUAAACUGCACAAGUUUUGAGCAAUGACAGAUAGCAAAGCCAGUGGGAUACAAAUUUAUAAAUGCUUUAUAAAUUCAGUCAAAGUCAAAGACACUUCAACCACACAUUCAUAACUACUACUCAUUAUUAUCCACGUUCAAGGAAUGCACUAGUAUUCCUCUUUAUAAACCAUUUAGAAAUUUGCCAAACGGAGGCUAAGUCAUCCAAAUAUUGUAUCCUUUUCCACCCAAAAAAAUGACACAGAAAAUGUCUUGUAAAG